CAUCUCUCCCUUCUCUCUUUUAUCUCUCAUGGCGCAAUCGGCGGUCUGGGCGGCGACGGUGGGUGGGAGUUGGAGCGGGCGGCGGUGGUGGGCAAGGGUUCCCCACCUGCGAGCGGAGCAGCAGAAGCAAAGCAGAGCGGAGCGCGUACGAAGAAGCCACCGCCACCACUGGCGGCCGCCGCCUUCCUCGGCCCCGACUCCCCCAUCCAGGAGACCUCCCAGACGGCCUACAUCUCGCCGACUCCUCAAGAUCCUCGUCCACAGUAUGCGCGCGCGACACGCGUCGAACACCUUGUGUUUCUUGGGGUCGGUGCUCAUGUGCGGCGACGUGCAGCGGCGCGGGAGUCGCCGUGGCGCCGAUGGGGGUGAUCCUGGGCAAGGAGGUGGACGGAUUCUCGGUGUGUGGAAAUUAUGGAUACCCCAUACCUACACGACAUGUAUAGUUCGACUGAGUAUGGGGUGCCAUGUAUAGAUAGAAUAUCCUUAAAAGGACUCGGGUUAAAUUCCAAACUUGUACGUCAAGGAAAUACCCGGGAUCUAGUCGGUUACGAUUGUAUCUUAUCUGUAACUACCUAUUCCGUUAGGGAUAUGGACUGUGCUUUGUAAUGCGGACCCCUUCCCCUAUAUAAGGAGGGGUCCGGGUGCCUCUAGGGGCACGAUUUUUCUCCCAGAUCAUACGAUCAAUAAUACACUCGGCGGAUCAAUCCCCGGACAGAAGUAGGGUAUUACUUCUUAAUUAAGAAGGCCUGAACCUGUAUAAAAUUCAUUGUCUCUCAACCCUUCCACUUUUCUAGCUUGAUAGCCACCUCCUUUAGUAUUGCCGAAAUCUUGUUUCGACACGGUGCGUGUCGUCGACGCCUUCCCGCUGCCGCGUUGCGCCGGUGGCGCCUUCAUCCAGGCCAUCGACCUCCGCUACAUCGAGGGCAUGCUCGCCAUGCUCAACAAAACCGACAGGUAACGAGCGCACGUUGAUCUGUUCUUCUUGUGUUCUUGGUCGUGUCGUGGUUUCUUCUUGCCUUGCUUACCUACCUGUCGAAACUAGAUUUCGGCAAUAAUAAAAGGGGGUGGCUAUCAAGCUAGGAAAGUGUAUGGGUUUGGAGACAAAGGAUUUAUACAGGUUCAGGCCUUCUUAUAAAAGAAGUAAUACCCUACUCCUGUCCGGGGAUGAAUCCGCCGAGUGUGUUAUUGAUUGUAUGAUUUGGAGAAAAUCCAACAUCCGCCCCUAGAGGCACCCGGACCCCCCUUAUAUAUGGGAAAGAGUCCGUGUUACAAAAGAUAAUCUAUAUCCCUAACGGAAUAUGUAAAUACAGAUAAAAUACAGUCGUGACCGACUAAGUCUCAAGGUGUUUCCUUGAUGAACAAGUUAAGAAACAAACCCAGGAUACACAUAAGAUAUUCUAUCUAUAUUCGGUAUCCUAUAUUCAGUCCAAAUAUCAUCGCCGUGUAGAUAUGGGAUAUCCAUAAUCUCCACAGUAGCCCCCGAGACCUUUGCAGUCAACCAUCAGAGCCUUCUCAAAGAUAAUAAUCCGAGUGCUUCAAAACUUAUCAUGCCAAGGCCUGCCGAGUAGCGAAGACGAAGACUGUAAAGGGCGAAAAGAUAAAAAUAUGGUGCAUCGAAUAGAUGCACCUAAUUAGGUGUAGCCCCCAACUAUGUGAUUAGUUAACGAACUAAACAUAUAGUUGAGAAACAAAAUAAUAACACAAUUGUGCAUCAUAUGACAAAAGCAUACACGGCGCCUAGAUAGGCAUGCUAGCCGACUGCUUUUUAGCCAUAAUGAAAAGAGUCCGAGUGGUUUACACUCUAAAAGGUUCACGAAUGAACACACUGGACAGGCAUCCGAAUAUAAAACUCUAAAGAUUACCCACCAAGUAUUAUAAAAAUUAUGGUAAUGAAUAAGUCUAAUAGCCUGGGCCAUGACUAUUUACCAUAAUGAAAAUAGGUAUAUAGCAUACCAAGGAAGUGACUAUGAUAAAAACAAGUCAUUCCAAAUUAACCCAGACAGCUUUUGUAGCCUAAUAAAGCUAACAAAAAGCAGUAUAACACCUUUCUGUCGGGCACCUUUUAAUUUGCAUUGCAAUAAUUCCAAAGAAUUAUAUGACCGCAUAAAAAGGAUUUUAUCAGCAUUGGGCAACACUAUUGUGCGCAUAAUAUUGCCAAAGCAAAAUAUGCCUAAGUCCCUAAGGAACACAAUGGGCCACGCUGUUAAAAGUAUUGGGCUGAGGUACUGUUCAGGCCUAGGCCCAUUUGCACCUCCGAUACCCUUAACAAGAAGUCCCGAGAUCCAAGCGACGCUUCGUCUUCCCCGCCGGAACUCUCGCCAUUUUCCCCACUCCCUGCUACAGUAAAGAACUGCGCCGGCAAACUAGGGUUCACCAUUCCACUCAAAUCCACCUUCGAAAAGUGAUCAAAAUCCUUCCCGUGAUCCACCGCCUCAAUUCCUUACCUCUCCCAAGCCAUCCCUCGAAUCAGAUCAGCGCAUUCGGGGAAAAUCGAUGGCGGAAGAGAAAGAAAGCUUUGAAGGCCAAUGGGCGCCGUCCGACGUAACGGAAGAGAACCUGAAGGAGAUGGUGGCGCACGGCGUUCUCCCUGCCAAGGAGAUCAUCGGGUGGCGGCCAGCGUGUGGUGAGAUUUUUUCGACCCCCGAUACACACGAGAUUGUGGUCUUCUCUCAUUUCUUCUAUGGCGGCUUCGCUCUUCCGACCUCGAAAUUUUUCCGCGGGAUAUUAAGCUUCUAUGGAAUCAGCUUGCAUCACCUAAACCCGAAUUCCAUAGUCCACAUUGCCAAUUUCAUCCAUGUCUGUGAAGCCUUUUUGGGAAUUAGGCCCCACUUCGCUCUGUUUCGCCGGAUCUUCUUUCUCAAGCCCCAACCGAACAAGAAUAAGCCAUGUGUAGUCGGAGGGGCAGGAUUUCAGUUGAGGGGAACUCUGAGUCAGAAGUACUUCUCUAUGCCCUUCAAGACCUCAAACAAAGGGUGGCAUGCGAACUGGUUUUAUGUUCAGAAUCCUGAGCCUGCUCUUCCCGAGUAUUCUUGUCUUCCUCCGGUGUACCAAGACACUUGGAACUCUCUUCCAAUCGGAGAUGAAGCUGCCCAAGCCUUGGAAUUGUUGGAUCGCAUGUUAAAACUCAAAGAACAAGGCUUGCAAGGAGAGCAGAUCACUCGGCAUUUCAUCAAAUGCCGACUGGCGCCAAUUAAAGAAAGAUCCCAUACAGCUUUUGAGUUUGACGGCAAGCAUGAUCCUAAUCGCGAAGAACCAGACUCUCUGGAUUUCAAAAUCAUGAAGGAGAGAAUGUAUAAAAUCUUCUCAAAUGCCAUCGUCGUCAGCUACUCACAUCGGCUGCCAGUUGUGCCAUAUAAUGCAUUCAAUCCGCCUCCGCAGGUAUGCAUCUGAAAUCUUCAAUCUAUGACCAAAACAUUAUCUUGUCUUCAUGUUGAAUUAAUUAACCGUGGAAGCAUCUCAUUUAGGAAUAUGCAUUGAUGAAAUCACUCAGCGCCGGUCACCUCGUCAGCACACCGUUCAGGGAAGUGGAGGGCCGACAAUCAGGUCAGACCCACAACCUCAAACCUCCAAACCGGCUGGGCAGAUAGGUCCUCGCAAGAGAAAGCUGGUGCUUAAUGACGAUGAGGGCGAUGACAGCAACAAAUCUGGGGACAAGGGCACUCCCAACAAACUCCCAAAGCAUACCAUGCCCAGGAAAAAACUGGCUGGCCGUCAAAUUCCAAAGAUUAGAACAUCUUCCAGGUAUAAACCUCUCGAUACCAUUUUAUUUCGGCAUGCUUCUCUUAUAGAAAUUAUGCUAAAUGUCAAAAGGACACUUUGCAGGAAACCAUCCGACAUAGAUCCAACUGGAAAAGAUCCUGAUCCGGCUGUGACAGAGCCAAAUUUAUCCAAAGACGCUGAGCCGACUGCCGAAAAUCAGCCGACUGCCGAAAGCCAGCCGACUGCCGAAAGUCAGCCGACUGGCACCCAAGCUUCGGACGACAAGGCCAAUCCGAGUGAUCAGCCGCCGACUGGAAACCAGUCGGCAACAACUGAAACUGCAACAACCCGAGAACCCCCGACUGGAAACCAGUCGGAUGUAGAUCUAAAUCAAGAGAUUCCUGAAGCUGAAGCGCAGACAACUUCUCAAGGACCAAAAGUUGGUAAUGACUCAGUGAUUGGGUCUCCAGAUAAAGAGCAAGGAUCCCCUCACGCUCAGCCAGGCACAUCCUCAGGUAACUCAUCUUCUCAAGUGAUGCCACUCUGAAUAACUCCAGCUUGUUCGUCUAAUAUCUUGGGAAUACAUCAGGUCCACUAGGCGGCGACGAAGAAGAAAUUCUCCGCAUAAAGGCAGCUAAUGACUCUCGUCCUCCUAUCUUACUCAAAUGGUGGGACGAGAACUCUCAAGUUUCCGGCAUUGUUAUAAAUCGCCAAAAAGAAGACGAGGAAGUGUGCCAGCUGAAGAAAGUACUUGGAGAAGCCACUCGCAUUGUGAAUGUAAGUCUUCUAGGUGGUUGCCUUUGAUGACUUUGUUUUUUUGUUAGCAAAACUAAUCCCUGAACCACCGUGCAGAGAAUCCAUCUUCGUAAUGAAGCCAAGACUGCAACCUUAGAAAAGCUGGUUCCACAUUUGGGAACUCUUGAAGCCGUUAGGGAACAGCUACACGAGGCUAAGGAGCAUGCCAAGAAAACGGAGAAGGAAUUAAGGGAGCGAAUUGCACAGCUCCAGGACUCCAACUUCGAGCUGAGUGGUUCAUCAAAAGGUAAUCUCUAGAUCUGUCCCAUUUGUGCUGUCAUAACUGGAUCCUCAAACAUUUGGAUUUCAAACAGCGCAAGCCACCAGGAUGACUCAAAUGGAGAAGCAAAUAGAAGCCUUGAAAAAAGACAAGGUAGAACUGGCUGCGGAAAGGGAUUCAGCCUUGAAGGAGGUUGAAGGUACUGCCAGCUGACAAUUUGAACUGCCCUCUCUGUAAGGCAGCAGAUUCUUAUUAUAAAUGUGUUUUGUAGACCGUAAAAUCAAAUCUCAAGCUCAGUUUGAUGUCCUGGUUGGUAAGAUCAAGAAGCUUGAAGGAGCAAGAGACGAAGUCGCCAAUGUCGCUACACCACUUGUCCAAGCUAUGUUUCUUAAUAACAGUGGUCCGAGUGCACUUGAUGCAACCGAGAUCUUUGACAAGCUAAGAGUUGCACCGGAUGUGUACUUCAAGAACAUCAAGAAAGCUGGAAGUAUGGGAGCUAGCAUGGCAUUGGCAAUGACCAAAUCCUUGUACCCGAGAAUCGAAAUUGAUACCAUUGAUGGCUUUGCAGACGGGACAAGUGAAGAAGCUGCUCUUGAUCUUAUCAGUAAUGCUCAAAGUGCGGCUGACAAGAUUGCAAGUGAUGUUGUAGAGCAAUUCCGCAACAACGACCUUCAGCCGAGCAAUAAUAACUCUGAUGAUGAAAGGAUUGAUUCUGACUGAGUGUAAAUGUAGCAAAUGGAGGCUCAAUUUGUACAAUACUGGUGUAUUUAUGCUGUGCUUGAUAGUUCUAGCCAAGUCUUUGAUUUCUUAAAAGCUUUUAUCAAGCUUUGUUGAGCCUAAAACCCAAAGAAGCUAUUAAAAACUUUCAGUCCUCGCAGACUAAGUAGAAAAAAUCAAACAAGGCAAUGAUAGACCAAGUAAGCAAAUUAAAUUGAUAAAAAAUCACACUCCAUUAUUAUGAUGAUAGCCCCCGACUGACAACGGCAAGAAGAAAACUUGAUGUUGACAGUCAAGAUAGGGAAAUACAAUGAUAAGCUUAAGCAUAGAAACGACGAAGAUGUUCAAUGUUCCAAGAGUUGUCGACGAGAGUACCGUCUUCGUGCUUGAGUCGGUAGGAACCUGGUCGGGUGACUUCAGAGAUGAUAAAUGGCCCCUCCCAUAAAGGAGAUAACUUGUGCCGAUCCCGUGUAGUUUGAAUUUUCCUCAAAACCAGGUCGCCGACUAGAAAGGCACGGGAUCGAACAUUGCGAUUAUGAUAACGCCGCAACCCUUGUAAAUAUCGAGCCGACCGAAUCAAAGCUGCUUCGCGGACUUCUUCCAAUCGGUGCAAGUCAUCCACUCGGUCCUCUUCGUAGCGUUCUUCACGGAAAUUUCGAAAGCGCAAAGAUUCGAAUUCGACUUCACUCGGCAACAUUGCUUCUGCCCCAUAGACAAGGAAAAAAGGUGACUGGCCUGUGGCCCGACUGGGUGUAGUUCGCAAAGACCAAAGCACUGAUGGCAGCUGUUGCACCCAUUUGCCGGCAUAGGGUUUUAGCCGGUCAAAAACACGUGCUUUAAUCCCUUGAAGUAUCAUGCCAUUGGCUCGCUCCACCUGUCCAUUGCUCAUGGGGUGUGCCACUGAGGCAUAACAAAUCUUAAUUCCAAAGUCCUCACAAAAGUCUUUAAAAACUCCACCAGUGAAUUGUGUGCCAUUAUCAGUGAUGAUCCGAUUGGGUACUCCAAAUCUAUGCACAAUGUUGAUGAAGAAGUCUCGAGCGUUAUCUGCUGUGAUUGUGACAACCGGUUUAGCUUCAAUCCACUUGGAGAAUUUGUCAAUGGCCACAAAGAGAUGUGUGUAACCGCCGACUGCCUUUUUAAACGGGCCAACCAUGUCGAGCCCCCAAACCGCAAACGGCCAAGACAGCGGGAUAGUUUGCAACUCUUGAGCUGGCAAGUGAAUUUGUCUAGCGAAAAAUUGGCAACCUUCGCACGUGCGCACAAUCUUGUCGGCGUCGGACACUGCAGUAGGCCAGAAAAAACCCUGCCGGUAAGCUUUGCCGACAAUGGUGCGUGCAGCGGCAUGGUUUCCGCAUAUCCCAGAAUGUAUGUCCUGCAGCAAUUGUCUCCCUUCCUCUAAAGAUACGCAGCGUUGCAGAAUUCCUGAAGGGCUUUUCUUGUAUAACUCAGCUUCAUGCAUAACAUAAAGUUUGCUCCGCCUUGAAAUCCGCUCGGCUUCAUCUUUGUCUUGAGGGAGUUCUUGAGAAGUCAAAAAUCGUAUGAGGGGUUUUCGCCAGUCGGUUUCAACCAUAGCGACGUCAUGAGUGCCCGCAACUUGAGUGGUAUCUUUGUGAGGUACUGUCGGCGUAUAAAGGUGUUCGACGAAAACAUCAGAGGGCGCCACCUCGCGCUUGGAUCCAAAGUUGACAAGUCUAUCGGCGUCUUCAUUAUUAUGUCGAAGAACAUGACUGAGCUCGAGUCCAUCGAACUUAUCUUCCAAUUUGCGUACCUCUUGUCGAUAUGCCAUCAUGUUGUCGUCAAGGCAGGACCACUCCUUCAUAACUUGGUUGACAACCAGCUGUGAAUCGCCUCGAACUAUUAGACGCUUUAUCCCUAGGGAAAUUGCAAUCCGCAGUCCAUGAAGGAGGGCCUCAUAUUCGGCGACGUUGUGGGACGCCGAAAAAUGUAUCCAAAGCACGUAGCUCAAUCUUUCUCCAGUUGGGGAAAUCAAAACCACUCCUGCUCCAGUGCCCGAAAGUCGUUUAGAUCCGUCAAAAUGCAUGGUCCAGUGCUCCAUGUUCUCCGCGGGGGCAUCCUCCUGGCACUCGGUCCAUUCGGCGACAAAAUCAGCUAACGCUUGGGACUUGAUUGAAAUUCGGGGCUUGAAUGAUAUGUCCAAAGACAUCAACUCCAAAGCCCACUUAGCAAUACGUCCGUUUGCUUCGCGGUUGUGCAGUAUAUCACCGAGUGGAAAUGAUGUGACCACCGUUACCGAGUGACCUUGAAAGUAGUGAGAUAGCUUCCUGGUAGUAAUUAGAAUACCAUAUAACAGCUUCUGAACCUGAGGGUACCUCGUUUUGGAGUCGGCUAGGACCUCGCUGACAAAAUAAAUCGGUCGUUGGACUUUCUGGACAUGGCCUUCUUCGUCGCGUUCAACGACCAAGACUGUGCUCACAACCUGGGAGGUGGCUGAUACAUACAGCAACAACGGCUCCUGCGGGUGUGGUGAGGCUAAGACUGGUGGCUCAGUGAGGAGUUUCUUGAAAUCUUCGAAGGCCUUCUGUGCUUCGGGUCCCCACUGGAAGUUAUCUGUUUUCUUCAGCAGCUUAAAGAAGGGCAUCCCCCUGUGGAGAUUAUGGGUACCCCAUACCCACACGGCAUGGUUAUCCGACUAGUUAUAGGGGAUAACUUAUAUAUAUGGAAUAUGUAACAGAUCAUGACUUGGGUAUUACGUUUCCUUAUAUAUUACGGAACAGCCUAAAGUCCUAGUUUGAUAAUAUUGUAAAGUAGAUUUAGGAAACCGAUACCGUAUUGGUUAAGGUUUCUAUCUUGUAAUCCUGCCCCCCACCCUAUAUAAGGUGGGCAGGAGGCCCUCUAGGGGGCAUGAGACAACCUGAUCGUCAGAUCUAUACUACACCCGGCGGAUUCAAAUCCCCAAACAGGAGUAGGGUAUUACCUCUCAUUGAGAGGGCCUGAACCUGUCUAAAUCCUUUGUCCCUGCAUCCAUCCACUUUAGGUCUCGUGCGCUACCCCCUUUUAUUAUUGCCGAAUUCAUGUUUUGACAGUUGGCGCGCCAGGUAGGGGUUGCGUCGAGUUUCCUAUCAACGAGCGCGAUGGAAUCAAUUUCAUGAGUCGCCGACUUCGCUUUCGCUUUGGGAGUUUUCACUUCCUUUCCGUCGACCACUUCUUCAAGCUCCUCUUCUCUGACUUGAUCCAAAUCAGUCAGGGGGAAACUCAAUCUGAUUUUUAUCAUUAUUUAUCAUACUGAUUUUUAAUCUCAGAUUAAUUUCUUGCUAUUUUUUGUUGUUGUUCGCAUAUAACUACGCGGCACUAUUGAGGCGAUUGAUGCUGGUCAUGGACUCGAGGCGUCUCAGCUUUCCGGUCGAUCGGCCGCGAGUCCACUCCGCCGGCUUGUCCUCGCCACCGCCAUUGCUGAUAGCAACAACGACUUCACCGCCGGCCUGCCUCCGUCGCCGCCGAGUGGAUCCUCCGCCUACACGGCUGGCCUAUUAUGCCGCCGCUGUUGGGCGUCUACGACUUCACCGCCGGCCUGCCUCCGUCGCCGCCGAGUGGAUCCUCCGCCUACACGGCUGGCCUAUUAUGCCGCCGCUGUUGGGCGUCUACGACUUCACCGCCGGCCUGCCUCCGUCGCCGCCGAGUGGUGCCUCCGCCUACACGGCUGGCCUAUUAUGCCGCCGCUGUUGGGCGUCUACGACUUCACCGCCGGCCUGCCUCCGUCGCCGCCGAGUGGUGCCUCCGCCUACACGGCUGGCCUAUUAUGCCGCCGCUGUUGGGCGUCUACGACUUCACCGCCGGCCUGCCUCCGUCGCCGCCGAGUGGUGCCUCCGCCUACACGGCUGGCCUAUUAUGCCGCCGCUGUUGGGCGUCUACGACUUCACCGCCGGCUUGCCUCCGUCGCCGCCGAGUGGUGCCUCCGCCUACACGGCUGGCCUAUUAUGCCGCCGUUGUUGGAUGUCUACAUCCUCACCGUUGGCUCACCUUCGCUGCCGUCGACUGGUGUUUCCGCUUACACGGCUGACCUAUUAUGCCGCCAUUAGUGGGCAUCUUCGCUUUCACCGUCGACCGCCUUCGUCGCCGCCGACUGGUGUCUUCAUUGUUAUUGAUGGACGACUUUGUUCCCACAUUGGCCACUUCUGCCAUCACCAAGGGGAAUAUUACAAAGCUAAGUCAUCAUUUAUUUUAUUCUUUAUAUGAUAUUUUUCCUUUUCCUCUGCCUCACUACACCAAUUGGUCUUCCAUUGAGUAGUGAGUCGGGGGCUACAGAUGUUAUAUCAUAUUUUUUAUAAUAUUUAUCUUGAUUGCUUGCGACAUAAUCUGAGUACAAAAGUACCUAUCGAGUUAUGGAGUUCUAUCUUCCUAUGCUUUCCGUUUGGUUUGCCAAUGGAUGGUUGCCUUUGGGCCGAUUCCUAGCACCCGGGGGCUCGUUGGAUGGACCGAGUAACGCAAGGUGCUAAGUAUUAUUCGGAAUAAAUCAAAAGCAUAGAGAUGAGAUAAAUUUAUUUUCUGCUCUUAAUAAUUGCAAAAGUACCCGAGUAGUAAACUCCGAUCCGUGAAACUUUGUUCCAUUAAUGACGAACUCAUGUCACUCAUAUGCAUGUUUGGGAAGUGCUUAGGCCGACUCCCAGUGCUUGGUGGCUAUGACUAGUUGGGCAGAGCGUUUAAACGUAAUGAGUCAUCUGCUCGGGGAAAUCAAAAUUGACAAGAGGAGAAAUACAUAUUUAUAAAUAUUUUAAAAUACUUGAUUUUUUCUCGAGUAUUAUAUUUAUAUCAGAUACUACUCAUCCUAUAUGUUUGUUCUGCAGGAUCCAGAUCCAGAUAUGCAUAAAAGGGAUUCAUGGCUUUAAGCUUAUCUCUUACGCUCUAGGAAUGGAUCAGUCAGAACAUCACCACUGGCCGCCUCGUCCGCCGCCGACUAGUACUUCCGCCUGCACGGCUGACUUAUUAUGCCACCGUUGUUGGGCGUCUACGUCUUCACCGACUGGCUUGCCUUCGCCGCUGCCGACUGGUGUUUCCGCCUGCACGGCUGGCCUUUAUGCCGCCGUUGUUGGGCGUCUACGUCUUCACCGACCGGCUUGCCUUCGUCGCCGCCGACUGGUGUUUCCGCCUGCACGGCUGGCCUUUAUGCCGCCGUUGUUGGGCGUCUACGUCUUCACCGACCGGCAUGCCUUCGCCGCUGCCGACUGGUGUUUCCGCCUGCACGGCUGGCCUUUAUGCCGCCGUUGUUGGGCGUCUACGUCUUCACCGACCGGCUUGCCUUCGUCACCGCCGACUGGUGUUUCCGCCUGCACGGCUGGCCUUUAUGCCGCCGUUGUUGGGCGUCUACGUCUUCACCGAUCGGCUUGCCUUCGCCGCUGCCGACUGGUGUUUCCGCCUGCACGGCUGGCCUUUAUGCCGCCGUUGUUGGGCGUCUACGUCUUCACCGACCGGCUUGCCUUCGUCGCCGCCGACUGGUGUUUCCGCCUGCACGGCUGGCCUAUUAUGCCGCCGUUGUUGGGCGUCUACGUCUUCACCGACCGGCUUGCCUUCGCCGCUGCCGACUGGUGUUUCCGCCUGCACGGCUGGCCUAUUAUGCCACCGUUGUUGGGCGUCUACGUCUUCACCGACCGGCUUGCCUUCGCCGCCGCCGACUGGUGUUUCCGCCUGCACGGCUGGCCUUUAUGCCGCCGUUGUUGGGCGUCUACGUCUUCACCGACCGGCCGCCUCGUCCGCCGCCGACUGGUACUUCCGCCUGCACGGCUGACUUAUUAUGCCACCGUUGUUGGGCGUCUACGUCUUCACCGACCGGCUUGCCUUCGCCGCUGCCGAUUGGUGCUUCCGCCUGCACGGCUGGCCUAUUAUGCCGCCGUUGUUGGGCGUCUACGUCUUCACCGACCGGCUUGCCUUCGCCGCGGCCGACUGGUGUUUCCGCCUGCACGGCUGGCCUAUUAUGCCACCGUUGUUGGGCGUCUACGUCUUCACCGACCGGCUUGCCUUCGCCGCCGCCGACUGGUGUUUCCGCCUGCACGGCUGGCCUUUAUGCCGCCGUUGUUGGGCGUCUACGUCUUCACCGACCGGCCGCCUCGUCCGCCGCCGACUGGUACUUCCGCCUGCACGGCUGACUUAUUAUGCCACCGUUGUUGGGCGUCUACGUCUUCACCGACCGGCUUGCCUUCGCCGCUGCCGAUUGGUGCUUCCACCUGCACAGCUGGCCUAUUAUGCCGCCGUUGUUGGGCGCCUACGUCUUCACCGACCGGCUUGCCUUCGUCGCCGCCGACUGGUGUCCACGCCUGCACGGCUGGCCUAUUAUGUCGCCGUUGUUGGGCGCCUACGUCUUCACCGACCGGCUCGCCUUUGUCGCCGCCGACUGGUGUCCUCGCCUGCACGGCUGGCCUUUAUGCCGCCGUUGUUGGGCGUCUACGUCUUCACCGACCGGCUCGCCUUCGUCGCCGCCGACUGGUGUCCUCGCCUGCACGGCUGGCCUAUUAUGCCGCCGUUGUUGGGCGCCUACGUCUUCACCGACCGGCUCGCCUUCGUCGCCGCCGACUGGUGUCCUCGCCUGCACAGCUGGCCUAUUAUGCGCCGUUGUUGGGCGCCUACGUCUUUACCGACCGGCUCGCCUUCGCCGCCGCCGACUGGUGUCCUCGCCUGCACGGCUGGCCUAUUAUGCCGCCGUUGUUGGGCGCCUACGUCUUCACCGACCGGCUCGCCUUUGUCGCCGCCGACUGGUGUCCUCGCCUGCACGGCUGGCCUUUAUGCCGCCGUUGUUGGGCGUCUACGUCUUCACCGACCGGCUCGCCUUCGUCGCCGCCGACUGGUGUCCUCGCCUGCACGGCUGGCCUAUUAUGCCGCCAUUGUUGGGCGCCUACGUCUUCACCGACCGGCUCGCCUUCGUCGCCGCCGACUGGUGUCCUCGCCUGCACGGCUGGCCUAUUAUGCCGCCGUUGUUGGGCGCCUACGUCUUCACCGACCGGCUCGCCUUCGCCGCCGCCGACUGGUGUCCUCGCCUGCACGGCUGGCCUAUUAUGCCGCCGUUGUUGGGCGCCUACGUCUUCACCGACCGGCUCGCCUUCGCCGCCGCCGACUGGUGUCCUCGCCUGCACGGCUGGCCUAUUAUGCCGCCGUUGUUGGGCGCCUACGUCUUCACCGACCGGCUUACCUUCGCUGCCGCCGACUGGUGUCCUCGCCUGCACGGCUGGCCUAUUAUGCCGUCGUUGUUGGGCGCCUACGUCUUCACCGACCGGCUUGCCUUCGCCGCCGCCGACUGGUGUUUCCGCCUGCACGGCUGGCCUUUAUGCCGCCGUUGUUGGGCGUCUGCGUCUUCACCGACCGGCUUGCCUUCGCCGCUACCGAUUGGUGCUUCCGCCUGCACGGCAGACUUAUUAUGCUGCCGUUGUUGGGCGUCUACGUCUUCACCGACCGGCCGCCGCAUCCGCUGCUGACUGGUGUCACCGCCUGCACGGCUGGCCUGUUAUAACGCCAACUGAUGCUACCUUCUUCACGGCUGGCUACAUCGCUGUCACUACUAAUAGGCAUCAGUAUCUUCAAAACAAGCUGCCUACGUUUGCCAUGGCUGCCGACUGGUUUCUUCACUUCCAUGGCUGCAUGAUUCUGCCAGUGUUGAUUGGCCUUAUCUUCUUCACCGCCGGUCGUCUCGUCUGCUGCUGACUAGUGCCCUCACCUCUACGUCUGGUUUAUACAGCUACCACUACUGAUGGACAUCAUCGUCUUCCGUUGCCGACUGGUUAUGCCGCCGCCGACUAGUGCUUUUAUCUUCACAACUGCGCGUCUUCGCUACCAGUUUGCUUCUGUUGCCGCCGACUCGUGUUCACUUCAUCACGGCGAUGCAACUUUGUCAUCAUGGUGGAGCGACUUCAUCUUUAUUAUCUUCGGCACUGGCAAACUCUAUUGCUGCUACUUCGCAAGUUUUACUACUUCACCAACCACGACGUCUUUGUGAACCUCGACAUCUCGGCAUGCAAUACCAUGAUAUUUUACUACAACAAGUGACUCUCCAAUAUUCAGGAUUUCUACUUGGACACCUUCAACACAUAUCUUCAAUCAAGCAAUGACUACUCGACGACAAGAAGCUAUAAUUCUCGACUCUAUGUUCAGUUGUUUCUCAACUAACCAAAGAGUCGGGGGCUACACAAAUAUAAGGCUCAAAAUUUGACAAAUUUUAUGUCAAGCUGAAGAAAUCAAUUAAUCAGCCAAUGAGUCAACUCCAGGAGUCAUUAUCUUCAUCUUUGCUUCGGAACAGACAUUCUACUUCAACAACUUCAAAUAUUUCGGUUUAGACGAGUUGGGCAACAACAUCAACUCUCCUCCAAUUAUUUGUCUUCACGGUUGGCCUACUACGCAACUACCGAUAGAGGAUCUCCUCGUUAUCAUCGGCUGCUACAUCGCUAUCGACUGGAUCACCGACAUCGUCAUCUUCAUCAACAUCUUGUCAAGCCUCAUCAACAUAGCCAACUCUGCUGCCGUUGAUGGGAAACUUCGUCAUCAUAGUCGGCUAUCUCGGUUGCCGCUAAUCAUCAGUACCGUCGGAUGCGUUUGUCGCCGCCGAUUAUUUUCUUCAUCUUCAUGAUUGGUGGAUUUCGCCAUCACCGUUGAUGCGCGUCUACGUCUUCAUCGUCGGUUUGCUUUUGUCACCACCGACUGUUCUUUCGUUGUUGUUGGGCGCCUACAUCUUCACUGUUAGCUGACCUGACUGUUGCCGACUGGUUUCUUCGCCUCCACGGCUAUGCAACUUCAUUACAUUUGAUUGGUGGCAUCUUUACUACCACUGACAUCUUCCGUUACUUCUGAUGAGCAAUUUCGUCUUCAUGUUGGUCAUUUCAUCUCCAUGCCGACUGCGUCAGCUAUUGCCAAUAGACAAUUUUGACUAUGACAGAAAGACAAGCUAUAUGCUCAGGGGCUCAUCAACUCAAGCGUGAGGAUUAUAUCUCCAAUUUGGACUUGUUCCGGAUACAUUCCACAUGGAUUCAUAGUCAUGAGUCUAUUUUCUAUGCUCAAAGACUGGACCAAUUAUUAUUCCCCGUAAGGGCUAUCAACCGAAUACUUGCGCCAGUCGGGAUUCAAUUAUUAUAUAUAUUUUGGAGUAUCUCAUAAGGGAUAAUCACUCAGAUCAGAAGCUAUUCAUAUGAGCUACACCUGGUCUAUAUCACCCGGAAGAUUUAUUACUCGAGAGCAUGUUACAUGCGUCAUCCUUUAAAGGGUGUCGAAGGCAUAUUUUUUGGUCUAGGCCUAAUAUGUCUGCAGCCCAUAUUUUCAGGUGUGGCCUGUCACGUUCUUUUAGGGACUUAGGCACUUUUUGCUUAGGCCAAAGUGCGCGUGAUCAAGUGCCCAAUACCUUAAAAUCCUUUUAUACCGCAGUUACUCAACUUUUUAGGAGUUGGUACAAUGCAUCUUAAAAGGUGUCAAACAGUAAAGCUUUAUAUAGCUGCCCCGCUGACUUUUUAAUAUAGUCAUGGUGCUGUUUGGGUUUUUAAGCAAUUGAUUGGAUACAAUAUCGUUGCUUUUUGCCACGUAAGUGUGCAUUUUUAUUGACCAAUAUUAUGGCUUAGGCUGAUUAUAUAUUGUGGUCAUUUUUCAGGCGGUUGGUAAAUCCUUUAUGAGUUUAUUUACCCGGAUUUUAUACCACAUAUGCCAUAUAUUUCCAGGUGUGGUGGAACCAUGUGUCUUCUAGGGACUUAAGCACAUCUGUUAAAGCAGUGUGCGCAUGGCGUAUGCCCAAUACUUUGGAAAUUUCUUUAUUCACAGCAUUCAAGCUUCUUUAUAGCUAUUUUGCUAUAUCACUCAUCAUGUUUUGCAAAGCAGUUGGUAUAUCACUCGGAUCAUGUUAUUUGGAGGAUUCACACCGCAUAUGCUAUAUAUUGAUAUCAAGUCACUUGGUUGAUUACGAUUAUCAAAACCACUCGGUUGGUUGGAUUAUUUAUUCCUUGACUACAUGCUUGGUUUGUUCAAUUAACCACAUUGUCGGGGGCUACACCUAUUAGGUGCAUCUAGUCGGUGCACCUGACUUUAUUUUCCAGCCCUCCACAGUCUUCAGAUUUGGUAAAAGUACUCGGGAGACCAUGACAAAGAUGAUUGAAGCACUCAGCUUUGGAGUAAUCUGGUUCGAGAGAAGAUUAUCUUUUCGACUGCGAAGGUCUCAGGGGCUACUGUGGAGAUUAUGGGUACCCCAUACCCACACGGCAUGGUUAUCCGACUAGUUAUAGGGGAUAACUUAUAUAUAUGGAAUAUGUAACAGAUCAUGACUUGGGUAUUACGUUUCCUUAUAUAUUACGGAACAGCCUAAAGUCCUGGUUUGAUAAUAUUGUAAAGUAGAUUUAGGAAACCGAUACCGUAUUGGUUAAGGUUUCUAUCUUGUAAUCCUGCCCCCCACCCUAUAUAAGGUGGGCAGGAGGCCCUCUAGGGGGCAUGAGACAACCUGAUCGUCAGAUCUAUACUACACCCGGCGGAUUCAAAUCCCCAAACAGGAGUAGGGUAUUACCUCUCAUUGAGAGGGCCUGAACCUGUCUAAAUCCUUUGUCCCUGCAUCCAUCCACUUUAGGUCUCGUGCGCUACCCCCUUUUAUUAUUGCCGAAUUCAUGUUUCGACACCCCCGCUCGCCAAGUCGUGAAACAAAUCGGCUGAGCGCCGCCAUGCAUCCAGUCAGCUUCUGAACAUCUUUCUGGGUACUUGGCGGUUUCAUGUUGAGGAUAGCAGUAACUUUCUCCGGGUUGGCUUGGAUGCCCCUAUGAGACACCAUAAAGCCAAGCAGCUUCCCUGACGGUACUCCGAAGGUGCACUUUUCAGGGUUCAAUUUCAUCCUGAAAGCACGGAUGCUCGCAAAGGUUUCUUCUAGAUCCGAGAUCAAAUCAUCCUUUUGCUUGGUCUUGACGACUACGUCAUCCACAUAGGCUUCAACGUUGCGGCCGAUCUGCGUUGAGAAGCAUCUCUGAAUCAUGCGUUGAUAAGUUGCUCCUGCGUUUUUUAGUCCGAACGGCAUGGUGACGUAGCAGUAUGCCCCAAAAGGCGUGAUGAAUGAAGUCUUCAAGCAGUCGGAUUCCUUCAGUCGGAUCUGAUGAUACCCCGAGUAGCAAUCCAAAAAACUGAGAAGCUCACGGCCGGCGGUCGAGUCGACUACCUGGUCAAUGCGAGGCAACCCAAAAGGAUCUUUAGGGCAGGAUUUGUUGAGGUCGGUAUAAUCAACACACAUGCGCCAUUGCCCUGUUUUCUUCCGAACUAGAACCGGGUUUGCCAGCCAGUCGGGAUGAAGGACUUCUUUGAUGAAGCCUGCUGCUAACAGCUUGGUUAAUUCCUCCUUGAUCGCGUCCUUCCUGUCUUGUGCGAAUCGGCGGAGUCGUUGUUUGAUAGGCUUGGCAUCUUCUUUGACAUGUAAGGAGUGCUCAAUCACCUCUCUAGGAAUACCGGGCAUAUCAGAUGGUUUCCACGCAAAGAUAUCUUUAUUGUUCUGAAGAAAGGUGAUGAGCGCGCUUUCCUAUUUACAAUCUAACUCGGCGCCUAUUACAGCAGUUUUAGUAGGAUCAGAGGGAUCUAGGGGAAUCUUCUUAGUCUUGGCUUCGCUUUCUCCACUCUUUGAAAUCUUGGUAGCGGGCUCUUCUCCUUCGCUCGCCGUGGCUGCAGCCAGUCGGAUAUCCUCUCGGGCAGACGCCAUCUCGCGAGUUUGGGCCAUGUCGCAACUCUCCUUGUCGCAUGUGACGGCUUGCUUGAUGUCACUCCGUAGGGAUAGGACUCCUCGGGGACCAGGCAUCUUCAUCAUCAUAUAAGUGUAGUGCGGGACGGCCAUGAACUUGGCUAACGCCGGGCGUCCGAGUAUGGCAUGGUAUGCUGUCUCGAAAUCAGCGACUUCAAAGCUGAUGUUCUCUGUGCGAAAGUUUUCCCGAGUGCCAAAAGUGACUGGGAGGGUGAUCUGGCCGAGUGGAGUUGCGGAUAAUCCUGGAAUCACUCCGUGAAAAGGCGCAUUGCUUGGUUUUAACUCGGAGCGAGGGAUCUGCAUAUCAUCCAGGGUCUUGGCGAAGAGGAUAUUGAGUGCACUGCCACCGUCGAUGAGGGUUCUGCGAAGCUUGACAUUACGGACCACUGGGUCUAGUACCAGGGGGUACCGCCCCGGGUGGACCACUCGGUCAGGAUGAUCCGAGCGGUCAAACUUGAUUGCGAUCUCUGACCAUCGAAGAUAUUGGGGCGUGUCGGGCUGAACAGCAUUGAUCUCCCGUUCAGUUAACUUCUGCUUCCGUUUAGACUCAUAAGCCAGGGGGCCGCCGAAGAUAUGGUUGAGCUCCUUGCGGUGAUCUUGAAAACCUGCCGGGGUGUCGUCGUCGUCCUUCUUCCUCGACGUGCUUUGUUCUUCGUCAGAAUUCUUCCGUGCAGUCUUGGUGUAUUGAUCCGCGAAUUGCUUGUAGACGAAACAAUCUUUGGCCACGUGGUUGGAGUUAGGAUGGUGCGGGCAUUGGGAGUUCAUGAUCUUGUCGAACGUGUUGACGCGCGAACGCUGUCGAGAAGAGUGACUGGCGGUUGCAACAAGUUCCGCAGGCUUACGCUUGCGGUCCUUAUGAUUGUUACUUCCACCUCCUCCCGUAGCCGGCGUACCCUUGUUUUGCUUCCAACUGGGACCCGACUGCUUUGAUGCGGUGACGGCGUCUUCAGCCUUGGCGUACUCGUUGGCUUUUUCAAACAUAAGCUUGACUGUCCUGGGAGGCUUGCGCCCGAACUUGCCGACCAAUUCUUCGUGGCGAAUCCCUUUGGUGAACGCGGCGAUGAUAACGUCGUCGGUGAUGUCGGAGAUCUUGUUGCGUUGUUCAGAGAAUCGCCGGAUGUAAUCUCGAAGGGAUUCUCCGGACUUCUGAAUAACGUUGUAGAGGUCGUAUUGUGUGCCGGGACGCUCGAAGGUGCCUUGGAAGUUGGCGAUGAAGUGGUCACGUAAUUCAGCCCAAGAUCCAAUUGUACCACGGGGCAAUCCAUGGAGCCAAGAUCAGGCGGAAUCUGCUAAAGCCACUGGUAAAUAGUUCGCCAUGGCCUUGUUGUCUCCUCCUGCUGCGCGGAUUGCGAGACCGUAGACGGUAAGCCACGAUUCGGGGUUAGUGGUGCCGUCGUACUUCUCUAUUCCAGUCGGCUUGAAGCCGGCUGGCCAAUCCACUCGACGCAGGUCGUCGGUGAAGGCUGCUACUCCGUCAAGGUCGUCGUCGUGGCGGUCCGGCGAGUGAUGGUAGCCUCGAGCUGCUCGACGCUGUAUGAUUGUGUCACGAAGAUCGAUGGGGCGACGACGAGGUGGUGAGCGAGGUCGUUCCACCCGGCGCUCCCUAUGGUGAUCGGGAGGUGAGUGAACGGACCGCUCGUCGUGACCCCUGCUCCUGCGGUUGGAUCCUGCGCCGGUGAUGCUGAGGCUUGGAUGACGGUAGUCAUGAGAUCGGAAGUGGGGGACUCGGCUGCCAGUCGGCGUGUGGACGCUUUCGGAGUUAACUGGGACCGAAGCCGCAAUCAUGGUCUUCGUCUGGUUCAGGAUGUUGACGACGUGAUCGGAUUGAUUGAGCUCGUUUUGGUUGAGGAGGGUGUCGAGAAGGGUGAUCGCGGCAACCGCAUUCUGUUGAGGGGUGCGGAAAACUGGUGUCCCUUCGACAUCUUGCUGGCCGAUGAGAUCACGCGCUCGGCGCCCUGCUUCCAAAGCUCGCUGACGUCGAUCCUCAGCCUCCUUCGCGGUCCGCUCACGGUCCUGCUGCUCACGCCGUAGCCGUUCUUGUUCUUGUGCUUGAUGCUCCUCCUCCAGUCGGCGACGUUCUUCGGUCUCCCGGGCUUGGCGUUGCUCCUCCGUCUCAUUAUUGGCCAUGAAAACGCCAAAGUAGAGAGGGGUGUAGUUGUCAUCAAGGCUUCCGUCGAAGUCGUCGAAGUCGUUGUAGCGAGAACUAAAUUCGUCGUACUCCACGAUGUCAGUAGGACGUGAGUCGACGGUGGGAGAGCUGUUGUAGUCAUCCAGCUGAUCCGUCGAAACCGUGCCGAGUGGUUGGAGGAUGACGCCGACUUCCCUGAAGCUAGGCGAAAUCGGUGUUAAAGCCGACUUCCGCCUAGGCCUACGGGAUGAAGACGUUGUCGUGGUGGAAACGGCCGCUAAAUCGUCGGGGAGCUUCAUCAGGACUGGUGGGUAAGCCCCAUCAUCUUGAUCUGGUGUCGUUGGAGAAGAUGCGAUCUCGGCCGAGUGGUUUGAAGCCGACUCGGUUGAGAUGGUUUUGAAGUAGCUUUCAGCCGCGUUCGGGAAUCCAAACGGGACCGAAAUCCGGUUCUCUCCCGACUGGUCUGAUUCCGAGUCGAGGAGAGAAAUCUUGCCGAAGUUGUUGGUGACGAAGUCGAGGCUGCCGAACCGAAACGUCUGCCCGGGCGGGAAGACGAGGUCGUCGAUGCCGGAGACGAAACCCAUUGCACUGAUCGGCGAAAAGCUUGACGCUACCCCUACCUGGCGCGCCAACUGUCGAAACUAGAUUUCGGCAAUAAUAAAAGGGGGUGGCUAUCAAGCUAGAAAAGUGUAUGGGUUUGGAGACAAAGGAUUUAUACAGGUUCAGGCCUUCUUAUAAAAGAAGUAAUACCCUACUCCUGUCCGGGGAUGAAUCCGCCGAGUGUGUUAUUGAUUGUAUGAUUUGGAGAAAAUCCAACAUCCGCCCCUAGAGGCACCCGGACCCCCCUUAUAUAUGGGAAAGAGUCCGUGUUACAAAAGAUAAUCUAUAUCCCUAACGGAAUAUGUAAAUACAGAUAAAAUACAGUCGUGACCGACUAAGUCUCAAGGUGUUUCCUUGAUGAACAAGUUAAGAAACAAACCCAGGAUACACAUAAGAUAUUCUAUCUAUAUUCGGUAUCCUAUAUUCAGUCCAAAUAUCAUCGCCGUGUAGAUAUGGGAUAUCCAUAAUCUCCACACUACCUCCGUGCUCUUGCCUCACCAUGUUCAUCGCUUCUUGUUUCGGUGGUGAGAUUCUUGAUCUGAGGUGUUGAAAUGUUCUGACCGUAAUAUCCAGAAUUGUCGUUUGCAUUUAAAUUUCAUUAAAGAACGGAGAAUCAACUGGUGAAAUGCAUCGUAUGUAGCAAUGCCGUCCAAUUUCUUCAGGAUUUUUUAGUAAAAUCGUGGAAUCAUGCGUCAGGGUAAUGUUUAGCCAUUAGGUGUUCGACCAAUUGACCAAGAGAAUACAUGGCAGUGGAACCCAUAAUAUUUUUAUGUGUGAAUCACAUAUGGGUCCCACAGAUAUUUCUUUUAAUUCUAAUGCCACAUAAGCGCCACGUGGGACGAAGACUAGGUCAACAUCGUCACGUCAACGCCACAUCAGCAAAACCGCUCUCCAAAACCGCUAAAAGAGUCAAAUUGUGUUGGUUUCAAUAGUUCGGGGAGUCAUCCUAUCCGGUUUUGUGGUUGAGGGUUACGGAUUAGAUUCGGGUCACUUUUAAGGAAGUCAAAGUGAAUAAAGAGGGGAGAAGAAAAUGUGACACUAACCUAUGGGUCUCACAUGGUAAGUCAGCCGGUUGGAUCGGGUCAACCAGCUAUAUUUUACACCGGUUUUAGUAGUUACAGGGUAAGAUAUCUGAAAUUAUAAUUGAGAGAUACGAAUUACAUUCGACCUAUCUUUGAGGACGUCUUAGUGGACUUAUUCCUUCCCAGCUAACAGAAAAACAGCCCAAUAUUUAGCCCAAAUCCCCAACCCACAUGACUGAGCAUCUGGGCUGAACCAGCACAUAAACUCGCACGGAAAAAGCCCAUCAACAAAACCGAUCCGGCCCAGUACCGGUGCCUCCAUUUCACACUCGCUUCGAUCUUCGAUCUCUCUCCCCUUCUCCCCACACCCCACUAAAACCCCAGGCCUCGCCAGCCGCCGCCGGCCGCCGCCACUCCCCGCCAUCGCCAUGGCUCACCUCCGCCUCCUCCUCUCCCACUCCAGCCGCCACCACCCCCAGCCGCACCGUCUCAUCUCGCUCCUCCGCUUCUCCUCUAACACCGGCUCCGGCUCCGGCUCCGGCCCAACGCCGCCGCCCAUCAAGCCCGUGUCCUACGCCCCGAAGCCGCAGCCAGCGCCCGAGGAGGCUCCCGCCGCCGCGGAGGAGGCUGCCCCGAGCGAUGACCCCGGGUCUCGGCCCCCGCCGCCGCCAAGGAGAUCGCAGGGGCCGCCACAGCGGCAGCAGUGGACGCGGGAGGAGAUGCGGUUCGUGAAGGACGCGGGGCCCUCGAUCACGCCGGUGUCGUACCCGGCCAGGGUCGCGCCGCUGCCGGAGGACCGUCCGGCGGAGGAGGCACCCCCGGAGGGGCCGGCGGACGAGGGGCUGCGGGGAGAGGGGGAGCGGAUCGAGAUGGACGCCACGCGGGCCAGGAGGAGCUUCUUCGGGAUGCAGGCGGAGGAGGAGCAGGCGCCAUACCCGACGCUCAUACCCGUCGAGAAGCGGCCGCAGAAGGUCGCCAUUGAUCUCGUCGACGCCAUCCGCGAAAUCAAGGUCUGUCACUCUUGCUCGUGAUUUUUCUCCGUGCGGUUUGAAUUGCAAUUCGUUUUGCAUUUGAAGAUAAUACCCAUGAUGUGGUGAUGCAUUUUUCUAUUACGGUGUAAUUGGCACCUGGGUAAUAGAUACUAGUAGAUCCAAACUUUACAUUCGACUGUCAUUCUGGCAGUUGCAUGUCAGUACAGGGCUAGCUUUGCAGCAUCACUAUCAAAUAUCAAUGCAGAACUGCUGAACUAGUAUGAAAGAUCAACUGGUAUUUUAGUGAUUGCCUGAUCGGCGAUAGGAAGUUCAAACAUAUGCAAAUCUCAUACCGAUUUUGAUGUGGAAGCCUGGGAAGUUGGUUGAGCUCAGUCUAAUGACUGUCUUCUCUGCUAUACACGGAAUAGCUACUGAAAAUAAACAUGAUCAUGCAAGUAUUGUGUCAUUUUUAAAACAUACAUCUGUUUACUUCUGAAAGAACUAUAGCUCAUCAGAUAAUUUGGUAUGGCCACCUCUUAGUUACGAAGUGUUCAAAACUUUCCACUCCUUCAGUCCCACCCAGGGUUUCCCAAACCGCCGGGGCCGGGGUUACCGCGCCCCGGCGGUAAGCACGGUUACCACACGGUAACCGUGAAAAACCGUACAAAACCGUGCAAAAUUUAUCAAAAAUUCAAAUUAUUUUUUAAAUUUAUUUGAAUUUAAGGAGGUUACCGCGGUAUUUAUAUUACCGUACCCCCGCGGUAAGCUCGGUAACCGCGCGGUUACCGACGGUAAGUCGAACCCUGGUCCCACCACUUCUUUCCAUUAGUUAGUGAGAGAAUUAUAGAUAAAACACUUAAAUUUGAUAUUGGCAAAAUCCUGAAAAUUUCUGCAAAUUUAUUCACUAAAAAAUAUCUGUUCAAACGUUUUACCAUCUUAUUUCCUUUGUUGCUUCAAUUUUAUGCUAUUUGGAGCAGAAUAUGAUCUUUUACAAAUAUUGUUUCUCCAAUGUUGGUUACAGCCCUAGAUAUUAUGUUUUAUUGUAGAUAGAUGUUGGUUUAUACAUUUAGAUCCUCUAUUCAAUGUUGCAAUCUAAUGGUUCAAUACUUUAUUUGAUAGUCAUACAAGUUAAGAUGACAUGAAAACUUGGAAAGUUCCAUAGAAAUAUUGGGUUAAGCAACUUUUUGCAUGCUUUACUCUUUCUUAAAACAUGAAAAUCAACCUAAUUGGCUGAUGAAAAAUGAAGUUUUCUUACUUUUCGCUCUUCUGUUUCCAGACCAGUGCAAAUGAAAAGAAGCGGAAUUUUACCGAAACAGUUGAAGCUCAUGUAAUGUUAGGUGUUGAUCCACGUCGUGGUGACCAGGUUUGCUGCGCUAUAUGUAUAAACUAGAUAAUUUUGUAGUGCUAAGUUUUUAUUGCUUACUUCUCUAACAUGGAAGUGUAGCAUUGUCAUUAGUCAUUACAUUGCAUUUCUGACUGCCGGCUUCAUUGCUUGCUUUACUUUCAAGACAGGUUUUCAUAGCUGGUUUAGUUUCCAUGUCCUUAUACUCAAUCCAGCCAGCCUUUAUUUCAGCUAGUGGGUUUGUACACUGUGUUUAGAAAGCAUUAUGUGCUAGGCAGGUAUCAGUAGGACAUAGAGACCCUAGAGGCCCCUGCACAGCUGACAGUGCAAAAUCCAUGUUUAAACAGAAAUGUAUUAGAAUACCAGAAUGACAAAUAGACAUGCUAUUUUCAGAAGAAGCAAACAUCAAGAAUUCAUGUUCCUGUACAUCCAUUUUUCAAAGAAGCAAUGUAAAGUUUGUAGAAUUGUAGCUGCACCUUGCAUAAGUAUAUGAAAUAUGCUUAGGUCCCCUUUGUUUCCGCUUAGGUUUUUAAGCUGACUUUUCAUUUUCAGCUUUUAUGGUUAAUAAGCCAGUAGUUUUUAUGUCGCAAUGUCAAGGGUGUAGUCCAAACACUAAUCCACAUAAACCAAAACAAGCUACUCAAACCUGGCUUUUGACUUAAUAAGGAUGCUUAUGAUUUAUGACUUAAAAAGCCAAAGCUGUCCAUUUGUUUGGGCUCUGGCUUAUAAGCCCAAACAAAGAGGGCCUUAGACUGGCUAGUGACAUUUUUUUUAGAACUUGCAGGAGAUCUGUGUAUCAUUUCAUUAAGAUAGAUAAGAAAAGGUGUACGGUGUUAGAGAAAGACUCCGACACCCGCCCACCAGGGAUACAAGAGAAUAGCACACACCCAAAGGAAAAAGAAAACCCAAACUAGUGCAUUAGUAGCCCAGUCCUAGUAAAGAGAUCACGGAGCCUAGCAGCUCCUGCUAGGCGCCAAAGAGCGCUCUCAUUAGCGAUGGCUCGGAGGACAUCGGCCAAGCAUGGGGUAGCGCCAUUAAACACACAUUGUUCAUGUGCUUCCAAAUUUCCCAAGCGACCAAGAUGAUUAAAGAGUUUAGCCCUUUCUUCUCAUUAGUAGGUAAACCCCUUACCGUUCUUGACCACCAAUUGGCAAACCUAGCAGUAACCUGGGUUGGAAAGCUAGAGUAGCCAAGCCGUUGCAGGACCAAACACCAUACUUGUCGAGAAAACACACAAGUGACUAGGAUGUGAUUAAUAGUUUCCUGAGCUUGAUCACAUAAUGGACAUGUAGGUGGGUGUUGAAGUCCUCGCUUGUCUAACCGGUCUGCUGUCCAACAACGAUUAUUAAUUGCCAACCAUAUAUACAAUUUGCAUUUCAAAGGCGCCCAACUCUUCCAAAUUCUUCUCCAAGGUGCAAUUGAAGUGGCAAGAUGACGCCUAGUGCCUAGUCAGCCUCUUUGUUCGCUUUUUAGAACUAUGUGUGUAUCAACUCUUCUUGUGUCCUAACCACUAGUGAUGAGUUAUGACAGCAAAAAUGUCCUAAGAGGAUAUGCUGAUUGAGAUAACCUACUACUUACAGUAAUGGGAAUGAUUUGUGUCUGUCUAUGCGUUUAUUCUUGCUGUGAGGCCAGUGUUCCUCGAAAGGUGAAAUCAUGAUGCAUACAACACAAGUUAACAGAGAUACUGCUGAAAUGAUAUUAUGGUGUUCUGUUACUUCUGUUGUACCCCAUCUAGUUGUGAUUGUUAGAUUAGUGGAAAGUUACUGGCAAUGCACAAGAAAUGGUGAACAUAGAUUUUAUGAUGCAUGAUCCAAUAACCAAGUCAAUCAAUCAAUCUUAUGAUCUCUUUUAUCUGGUUGUGAUUGUUGGAUUGGUGCAAAGUUAUACUGACCAUAUUUCUCCCUGGGUUACAGAUGGUGCGUGGCGCGUUAACUUUGCCACAUGGCACUGGCAAGGUACCUUUCUAAAUGUAACAUUUAGGUUUUCUUGACUGUUUUGUGCUGAGGUCUUCUUUACUUUUAGACUGUUAGGGUAGCGGUAUUUGCAGAAGGUCCUGCAGCAGAUGAAGCUAGAGCUGCUGGAGCUGAUGUCGUUGGUGGUGACGAGCUGAUUGAGGAGAUCCGCACAGGUACUUUAUUUCCUCCAAUUGUUGUAUAAGCUUCUUUUCUUUCUAACGACAGUCAUAUUUGCAAAUUGCAAUGCAUGAUACAUUGUACAUUGAGGAACAAAUGCAAGGUGUGGAAUUCUAGCCCUUUUUAUCAGGAAACUUUAUCCUACUGCAUUAUAAGUAUUAGAUAUAGAUGAAUAGUCAUUUACAAGGUUUUAAAAUACUUAACAUCUUUUUUUUCAUGUAUAAGUUAUAGAAAUUGUUCGAUCUCUUUUUUUUUUUAAAAAAAAAGUGAUAUUGCAGAUAAUUACCUGUCCAGUCUUUUGUUACUGCAUUGCACAGUAUGUUUUCAGUUAGGUAUUUUCGUAGUUUUGCAUCUUCAAUAUUCAACAUCCCUGUUGAUUGGAACUUUUUCAUCUAUGGCCAUUUAUAUAGGAGGCGGUAAACUGAGUUUUGACAAGUGCAUUGCUACCCCUAUGUACAUGCCUCGUCUUUCGAAGGUAGUAAUGCUUAUUUCUUGAUACAAAUUUAUCUUCUGUUUGCUAUAUUAUUAAUUUCUUGACUGCUUUGCUAUUUCAGGUUGCUAGAAUAUUGGGUCCACGCGGACUGAUGCCAAAUCCUAAGGUAAAUAUCUGUCCUUUUUGUAUUGUAUGGUAUGGAGUGUUCUGCCUUGAUGUUUUUUAUGGUACCAUGAAUCAUUAACGUGACAUAUUGCUCUGUAGCUAGGGUCUGUGACAAACGAUGUUUCUGGUGCUGUCAAAGCAGCAAAAUCAGGCCGGGUUGAUUUCAAAAUAGAUAAAACAGCUAUAGUGCAUGUUGGUCUUGGGAAGGUACGGAAGAUCAGCAUUGAUGGAAAAUUCGAUAUUUGUGUUGCAGCUUUGUUGCACGCCUUAUUAAUGUUUGUAUUCUUUUGCAGAUAAAUUUUUCUGAUGAGAAUUUGCGUGAAAAUAUUGGUGCUUUUGUACAUGCACUUCUACUUGCCAAGCCAGUGGGAUUAAAGAAAAGUAAGUGGCCUAUUUAUAUCGCGUAUCUUGCAUCUCCUUAGUACUCUGGACACCUAGCAUGAAACUGGCACUUUGAUCAACAUAUGAAUGUUUAAGCACACGGUCUUAAGAAAAUAUGCUAAAAAUUUAAUGUAAAUAUGCUAAAAAUUUAAUGUGAUUGGACUUGGGUAUUUAUGGUCCUAGUGUUGUACUGUCAGUGCCACAAUUUCAUUUUUUUAAAAUCACUAUCAGGUUUUAUAGAAAAUAUAUCUGAUUUUCACAUUUUGCAACUCCAGUGGCAAAAUGCCUAUCAAAUCAUUCUAAAUGGAUAAUGACUAUUUCUUUUCAUUCGACUUCUUUUUAUUUGCUCCAUUUCAAUAGUGUUAUUAUUUGUUGUUUCUCUGAAUCUCUUUACAAGGUAUUAAUGUUCUCCAUUUCUUUCAGCUUCAAAGUAUGUUGGAUACGUGAAGAAGUUCACACUGAGUAGCACAGUAAGUUUUCUCUCUUUUCUUUAUUUUGUGAAAAUAGAACUAUGCUGCAUUUUUUUCCCAUUUUAUUGGGAUAUCAUGGAAUAUUUCACAAGAAAUAGUACAAAAAUGCUAAAUGCCUUUAGCUGGACUUCUCAUCUUCUCAUGGCGUCCAUUAUUUGUAGGCUCCCUGAGCAAGGAAUAGAUUCCGUUAUGUUAAAUCAUACAGCCGUAAAAGCUAUAGGAUUGGAGGCACCAGGAAACAAAGACCUAGGCUUAUCUUUAGCUAUGGCCAUAUUAGGAAGGACCCUAGUCAAACUAUAUCGUAAUUAUUAUAAUAAUGUUUAGAAAAGAGUAAAUUUCACAAAAUUACAGAUAUAUUAACUAAACUAUCGCAAAACUACUGAUCUAAGAUGAUUAUCACAAAACUACAGAUUUAGCACUAAAUUUACUAGAAAACUAUAGAUUUGAGGUGAAGUAUCACAAAACUACACAGGUUUAGCACCAAUUUAAUCACAAAAGUUUGAUGUUUAUAACUCAAGCAUAACAUUUGUUCUAAGGAUUUAAACCUCAAAAUCUGUAGUUUUGUCAUAAUUUUAUUAUUAAAUCUGUAGUUUUGUGAUACUUAGCCUUAAACAGUUAAACCUGUAGUUUUGUGAUAAAUUAUUGUUAAAUCUGUAGUUUUGUGAAAUUUACUCGAAAAGAAAAUAAGAUUAAAAAACUCUGCACUAUAAAAAAAUGUUCACUUUUCAACCUUGAAUGUGCUGUUUGCGUGAAAGUUCUCAGACAUCUUGAGGAAAGUUUUUGGGACAUUGUUAAUAAAAUAAAACAGUAUACUUAACUUAUGGCUAUACCAACUAGUCCAUUGACUUCAAAGGUAGAUGUUUCUCUCUAGUGGGGAGAAAGGUGGAAAUACUGCUCGGUACUUGAGAACGUUGCUAAUUUAUUGGGAUCUGGGAUGCUGCUGAAGUUUUCUUGACAUGAUUCACCUAUUGGUUCUGUCUGUAAUGUCCAAUGAGAAGUAUUCAUAAAACUGCAACCCAAACCUUCACUGAACAUUGGGAACUUGGGAUGCUUUUGAAGUUGUAAAAAGCUGCACAUAAGCAAGUUCAUGAGUAUAAGAGAAAAUAUCCCAAGUUAUGCAAUUUGUCAUCUUCGACUGCAAUAUGUACAGUUUCUGUCUGACAUUUUUUUUUUCUGCAACUUGCCCUUAAGUUGGUAUUGUCUUAUUGUCUUAAUGGACGAAUUCCUUGCAGAUGGGUCCUGGAUUUCCUGUAACCAUACCAUCGCUAUCCGCGGCAGCUGAUCAUUAUAACAAUAGCAAGGUGCAAGCCAGCUAACGAAAUAUAAUCAAGUUAAACGAACCUUUUUGCACUAGUGAACACAGCCGGCUUGCAAGUUGUGGAUGGUUUGGUGAUGAAGCAUAGAGGCCGACCGCAGUUAGAUGAAUGGCUGUUUUUGACACUGGGUUAAUGAUUGUGGACAAAAACCUUCAAGAAACAUUCGGUAGGGGAUUCUUAGUUUUUUUUGCUGCUCAGCAAUUAUGUGACUGCGUUAAAUGGCCCACCUUUGUCAUCCACGGUGUUCUGCAAUUUGUUGUAAGAAAUGUAAUUCUGAGUUUAUUCUUAAACAAGAUUGUAGUUCUAGCAUUUUGGAGAUAAUAAUGGUCGAGAUACCGCAUAAUGUGAUCCGACAGAAUAUGGCACUCGAAUCGAAGGGCUAUGAAUGUUUUCAUCAGUCAGAUUAUACUGGAUAAUGACUCAAGUGGGCCUUUGUAAAGCUACCCCAGCAGCAUGGAUCAAACUAGUUUGUUGGGCUUUUUUUUCUCUUGGCACGGUUAACGUCUUGAUGUGGCGACAUCGAGCCAUCGCCUCUUCGUCCGCUUUGUAGGACCUUUGGGAACUUAUUUGAAGAUGGUGGUAAUGGUAUGUCUUCUGCUUCGAAUUUUUAUUAUUUUCUAAAGCUUUUUAAUUCUUAAUUAUAAAAAUAAACCCUCUAAAAUCUGAAGCUUUUGUCCAGCAAUCCGUAUGGCGUGGCAAAACAACACUCGCGCCACCCGCAACAUAAGCAAGUUUUGUAAUGCUACGUUAGCUAGAGUUAGCUAGAGUGGUGGGGCCAAAUAAAACCAGAUUGGCGUCUAGCAUUGUUUUGCAAUGCCAUCCGAAGGUUAUGAUUCAAAAAUUAGUUCCGUGAGAGUUUAUUUUUUUAUAAAAAAAAGUUUCAAAAAGUAAAACAAAAUCUUCUGCUUCAUCACCAAACCAUGAAAAGAAAAAAAAAGCGAUUAGUAACAAAAAGAAUAACAAUUCUUAACAAGGAUGGUGCAACCUUCUAAUCAGCUAUAAUAUAGAGUUACUCCAGUCAACAAAAAACAUUCAAUUGAACGUGUGUCUGUCUUCUACUUGAUGGGCUACCAUGUGACUGAUUGUGAGUUUGUGACAACGAGGAAGAAGAACUUCUUAACAAGGAUAGUGCGACCGACGCGGAUCAGCUAGGAAACAAGUCCAAUGCAUCUGCCAGGAUAAUAUAUCGCCUUUGCAAGCCAACUAAAACUUUCGUUGAACAUUUUGAACUUGAGAAAAUUCCUUGUAUGCCCCUGAAAUUUCGCUCCAUCCCUUCUGUGCCCUUGAGUUUUGACGUAUCUCUUAUAUGCACCCGAGUUUUCAUUUUGAUCCCCUCCAAGCCCAUACCGUUAGUUGACCAUCAGUUGACCAUUAAGUUAUUUUCAAAAUGACUAUAUUACCCCUACUUAGAGUACCUAUGCGCUAGCUUUUUCACCAACAUAAUUUUCGAGUUGAAAAAUAUUUUAUUAGUAAACAACAAAAAGAAUGUGUUUAUUUGACCUCAAAGUUUGAAAAGUUAAAUUUAAAAUUUUAAAAAUUUAGAUCAAAUUUCAUAAAACAUUCUUAUUUAUAUUUAAAUUCAAGUUAAAUAUAGUUUUAAUUUCUAAAUGUUCGGUGAAACUUCUAUAUGAGUUUCAUUAAUUUUGUUAAAGCUUGCUUGAAAAUCUAUUAAAAAUAUUUCAAAAAAUAAAUAUUGGUUUUGAAAUUUAGGCUCAACUAUCUAUACAAAAUUUAAAAAGUUCACAUUAAGCUUUAUUUAGCCUUUUGAAGUGAUCACAUGACUAUAAAAAGGGCAACAUGGCCAUUUUGGAAAAAAGAUAACGGUGAACUAAUGGUAUGGGUAUAAACGGGAUCAAGACGAAAUCUCAGGGGUAUACAAGGGAUGUGACAAAAUUCAAGGGCAUGCAAGGGAUGGAGCAAACUUUUAGGGGUAUGUAAGGAAUUGCCCCUUUGAACUUUCGUGAGCUGCUGGAUGCAUCGUAUCAGACGUGAGUUCGAGUUUGGAGGGCAAUGGGGAAGCGAUGACGAGAAUAGUACUUCAGGAUAGAUAGGCAUGGUCGAUCGGCAUAGCGAGCACAGCCAAGCCAUUUUCCAGGUACAAGACUCAUGUGUUGGUGCGUGCACUGCACGAGCACCGGCGUUUUGCUCCAAGUGGCCGGGGAAACACAGGGCCCGGCCGCGCGAACGCAACAACGCCUCGUGAUAUCACCAAGCCAAAUUGUGCCCAAGAUGAAUCUCUGAAAAAGGCAUUCGUAGCUUAGUGAUUGCAGUGAUCUGAGUAGUAUUUUAUGGUCCCCCGAGUUUAAAUAUCCAGAAGAACGAAUUUUAGAUUAGGUUAUUUAAGGAGCUAAGUUUCCGAUUUAAAAUGUUGCAUAUAUCCGGUUUGGAUGCAGUGAAAAAAAUACCCUUCUCUCAAAUAAUAAUAAUAAUAAUAAUAAUAAUAAUAAUAAUAAUAAUAAUAAUAAUAAUAAUAAUAAUAAAAGAUGAAUCUCCGAAGCAAACGUGACGACUCUGUACUACGACGAAGCGAUGUGCGUGCGUGCGCGUCACCAGCCGUCCGGCCCCUCAUGCUGCCCUGGUAUGGCAUAUGCAACUUGAAUCCCAUAUAUGUUCGAUCCGUGUGCCGCUACUUGCACUAUAAUUAUAACGUGAUAUUCUGGAGCCUAGUAGCUCUGGAUGGAGGAGAUCUGGAGAUGUUAUCUUUGCCCGCGCGCUGAUAUUUCUGUUCCCAGGGACGGAUCCAAGAAUUUCCUGUAGCUCAGGGGAACAAAAAAAAAAAGCACACGUUGAUCAGCUGUGGUUGUUGGCUUUGUCGAAUGCUGGUUGCGUAGUGUGCUACUCUAGCUCGGUAGCUCUAUUCAUGAUUUCAAGUUUGUCACAAAAACAUGUGCAACAUAUUUUCAAACGUUUUUUUAUGCUUACAGAUGAUCAUUGACUGACUGGCAGCUAUCAAAAGAUGUUUACAGCAACAUUAUUAAUUCCACAAAUAAUAAAAAUAUUAACCAGAUCACAAAAAUAAAUCCAAAGGAGCAGAAACAGCCAUCUUGACUGUUCACUACACUUGUAGUUCUUGGACACGUUCGUCAUCAGGUUGACUUUAGUUGACCUUCCUACAGUUCAGACGGACCUCGGUCGGCGUCCCGGCCGCCGGCAGGAGGGCGCCCAUCCUCACCAUCGCCUUGGCGAAGUCGGCGGCGAACAUGCCGGCGUUGCCGGCGUACUUCCUCACCAGCGCGUCCUGCGACCCGCCGUUGAACAGCUCCUGGUCGGAGUGGAACAGCCCCUGCUUCUUCACCAGGUUCGCGUAGUAGGCGUUGUCGAACGCGUCGGGCGUCUGCACGUCGAUGGGCGCCAGCGUCGUGUCGCCGCCGGACUGCGGGCACGCCUGCUGCCGGAGCGCGGCGAAGGCGGCGUCGACGUUGCCGUCGCCGAAGAUGCGGCUGCGGAACGUGGCGCACCGGGCCUGCCCCAGCGUGUGCGCGCCCGACAGCGCCGUCAUGUCCCGCGGCGACAGCCCCUUGUUGCCGAACAUGGUGACGAGCGUGGCGAGGUCGGACCCCGGCCCCGGCAGGUUGCCGUUCGCCGCGCUCUGGCUCGCCGUCAGCGCGUCGCGGCGACCCAGCUGCACCGUCCACGUCGGCCCGCCCAGCUGCAUCGGAGUAGCUUGUGUCAAAGUGCUGCAUUGGGAUUGGAUUGCAUUGGAGGUUAGCUUGUGUCAAAGCGUACCAGGUUGACGGCGUCGCGCGCGGCGAGGGCGAGGAUGUCGGCGCAGGAGACGGUGGCGUUGCAGGACGCCUCGACCUGGGUCUUGAUGGCGUCGAUCACCUCGUACCCGCGCACCGAGUUGGCGUUCGGCCCGGCGUUCUUUUCGCCGGUGAAGUUGGCCGUGUCGUCGAGCAAGAUGGACGCGUCGCACCCCUGCAUCACACGACAGCCAAGCCGCACACACAAAUUAACACAAACACAAACAUCUCCCCCCCCAACAAGACUAAUGGCGAAUUAAGAUGGGCAAUGCGAUCUCACGUUGACGAAGCAGUCGUGGAAGAACAUGCGGAGGAUGGAGGCGCCCAUCCGGGGCUCCGCCGCCACGGCCUGCGCCAUCCCGGCCCUCACGAUGCUCUGCACGUUCGGGCACUUGCCGUCGUAGUACCUCGUCGACAGCUGCCCGCCGGCGGCGCCUCCGGCGAAGAGCACGGCCAUUACAGCAACCACCACGAGCACCCAUUGAGUAGCCAUUGCUCGCUGAUCACAAGCACAGUUCAAGCUCGUGAUCGAGCAGAGCAAGCCAGUGACACGGCAAGAGGAAUAUUUGCAGUGUACUACCAGUGGUUGCUUGAUGAGAAUUAAAGCAGAGCUCGCGGCGUAUAUAUAGUGUGCGUAGAUUGCUUGAUGAUUCGUGCAAUGCAUGGGCAGAUCAAUGCUCCGGGAGAGAAUUUCGUGGCCGAACUCGCGUGAACUCGAGCUGGAUUAGUUGACUAAUUUGCAUGGCCUACUCUGGCCAGAUUGCUUUGAUGAGAUCGAUGCAGAGGACGCUGGUUGGAUACCCGUACGCGCAUAUACGCAUGCAUGUUCGUGUAUCCAUGUUUGUAAAUUGCAACUUGGGCUUGACCAAAGACGUAUUGGACCAGUUGACAAAUUAUUUUUUAAUAUAUAUUUCUUUUUGUAUCUUGAAGUUUUAAAGUAGUUAAACAGACAAAUCUUGAAGUUCGAAUGAAAUUUUGGUCCUACUAUUUGUAACCAAACUGUAAUCGUGCCAAGCAAAAUUAACACAUCUAGUUUUUAACCUGCAUUUCUGUCAUGCUAAGGCAAGACAGUUGCAUUAGCUCUUUUUAGAACGUGAGACUUUUUCUCGAUUCACCGCAACAUCCUAAAAUAGGCCCUUAUAAAAGGGAAUCUUUCUAGCACGGUAGCACUAAUAAUGCACUUCAAUUUGCAGUUUUGUUGGUUCACAAAGUCCUACUGUGAAUCUGUGAUUGACUGUUCAAUCAGAUCAUGCAUGCACCACUUUGCUGAGUUGGAGCACAUCGAACAAUAUUUUUUCUUCGAUCAUGGAACAUUUGCCAUCAUCUUAAGUUAGGCACGACCACGAGCCACCCAUCUGCGUAAAAAACAUAACGGUUUGUAUGUGUCCAAAGUGAGCCCAACUCUGCUCAUUUCCCGAGACAAAAUGGCCGAUCAGUUCUGAACGACUGCAACUCCAGCCUAUCAAGACAAGACUUUGCCCUGCAGCUAGCCCUAAUCGCAAAUUAUGCUUCACCGUCACCUAAUCACAAUAUACAAGUACAUUUUGCUGCCGCUGAUGAGCUGUUAGUUUGGUACGAUCAAUUGUCAGCGCUAAGCCUAAGCAGUGUGCAUGUCAAUGAAACUGACGCGUACAGACUUGCUGCGGCAGCUAGCGUAGGGGCAGCGUUUCCAUAUCUCAAUUUGCAUGUAUCUUUGUGAUUUUUGCAGCCGCAACACGUUGAUCGUGGAAACAGUGGCACUGGCACCGGUUAACAAUUGGAUGGCAGGCCCCACCAUCAACUGCAUUUUGUGUUUCAUCCACAGAAAAUAUCUACUCAAUGCAAACUUAAGCUACCGGAUAAAAAAUGAAAGGCUGAGAUUUAUCCACGUCACCACUACUACGAUAACGAUUUUUCCGCACGGUCGAAACUCAUUUUCGCGUGCGGUUGUUUCGCCCGUCUGGAACGAAAGGUCCGUGAAAAUCGUGAUUUUUUUCAUGCGGGUAAGGCACCACACGGGAAAAUAAAAAGUUGAAACAAAAAAAGAAAAGAAAAUCAAAACCAAAACCCUAACCCUAAUCCAGCCGCCGCCGCCGCCCUAGCCGAGGCCCGCCGCCAUCACCCCCGCGGUUGCCGGCGACGGAUCCAGACGCUGGGAGACCGCUGCCACCACCACCGCCGUCGUCGCCCGCUACCGACGCUGGAUUCGCCGCCCGCUCCCGUCGCCGACACUGGAUCCGCCGCCCCCCAUGCCUCCCUACCGCCGCCGACGCCACCCUCCCCUCCGGCCAUCGUCCCCGUGGUCGUUGGCCAAAGACGCCCCUCCCCUCCACCGGAUAUCCAAGGGGAGGGAGGGGAGGGGCCGCGCACUGCCGCCGCCUACGCCCACCGCCGGAUCCGCCGCCCCCAUGCCUCCCCACCACCGACGACGCCACCCUAGCUCCCUUCGGCCGUUGUCCCCGUGGUCGCCGGCCGAAGACCCCCCCCCCCCUCGCCGGAUCUGCAAGGGGAGAGGCGGCAAGCCGGCAGCCUCCCGCCCGCGCCGCGCGCUCAGAGAAGAGGGGAGGAGAGGAGAUGAGAGAAUGAGUGAUGGAGUGACGAGAGAGAAUAAUAAAAUGAGAGAGAGAGAGUAGGUGAGAGAUGAGAGGAGGAGUGAUGGAGUGAAUAAUAAAAGGAAAAAGGUAAAGAGAGUAGGUGAAAUUUUGAAGUGUGUGGGAGGGAAUGCAUUUUUGCUUGCGGUUCAGUUAAGACGUUCGCCUGUGAAAAUAGUUUUAUUUUUGCAUGCGAUUCAUUUAAUAUGUCCGUCUGCAAAAAUUGAUUUUUCUGUGCGGUCCUCUUAAAUGGACUACACGGAAAAUGAGCCGAUUUUCCCAUGCGGAUCGAGUUAGCGCCCGCACACAAUCUAAAAGGGUCCCUGCUAGGAAAAUCAUUUCUGUAGUAGUGCACCAAGAGUAAAAAUUUUUUACUAAAAAUGCCAGUAAAAUUUUUUACUCUUGGUGACGUGGAUAUCUCAUGCGCAUAUUUUUUUAUACAAUGAUAGUUCUCAGGUUUCCACUAUAUAUUUGAUUUGUACUACAUGUUUUCCCAUCCAUUCAAGAGCACCUAGAGCAAAUUGUAGAUCAAUUCUUGCAAGUUUAGUGCUUCACUUUCAUUCUUUCAGCCCGAGAGUGACUUAGACUGAAUUUGAAUCAGCUUCUUCGUCUAGAUACUGCCUUAUUCUCUGUAAGCACGUUCUCGAACUUUUAAGUGGCACUCCAUCCUUCCAUAUUGAUCAUUAUAUAACCAAAAGUCAAAAAUUCUAAAUUGAUCAUUAUAUAACCCUACCCCUCCGUUUAAUGUGUAGUAUUAUUGCAUUUAUGCAUGUGAAUUGAGUUUGCAUUCAUGCACGUAUUCAUUUGGGAUAGUAAAACUCUCGUUGCUUGUGCAUGAGGAGAGUUAAAGUUUACAUGUUUCUUGAUUUUUUUUCCCACCACAUACUAACAUUAAAUGAAAUAUAGAAAAGUUAAGACUUUAUUAGGUUUGGUGAAAAAAGUUAUAUGAUGAUCAAUAUGGAAUGGAGGGAGUAAUUCUUUUUUACAUAAAUUUUUUAUAUAAGAAUUUAUUUUAAUAAAUAAAUAAAUAUAUUUUUAAGUUUGUAAUAUUUAAUACUCAAUUAAUCAUACACUAAUAGUUCUUCUUGUUUUAUGUAUCGUGAAAAAGCCAGGUAUUCCCCGGUGAAAUGAAUAAAGCCUUAGUGUGCAACCAACCAAGAAUAUAGAGCUAUGUGGCUUCAAUUGAAGACUUCAUCUUGCUACUUUUAGCAUCUCGGCAUGUCUAGCCAGUUUUGGAGGUGUCCCCGAUGAUCUCUCAUAAAGUUUGUAAGAGACCUGAUGCAUUUUGAAGGUUUUGGCAUUCGACCAUCCAGAGUAGAGAGGAACCAUGACUACUAUGCAAGCAUCCAUGGACUUCGUGACCUUAUAGAGGGGAGCAAGAGUUCUCUUGUGUCGUGUGCUCCAAUAAGAAUUAAUGGAGAUUUUCGAAUCUCCGAUAUCUCAGGAAAAACUCGUAUGUCUUUGUGUUUGCAUUUCUUAUCCUUUUCACCGCUCUUUACCCGCUUGUUCCUUUCGCCUUUAAUUAGGUUGCAAAACUUGGGCUGUACCAGAUUUUGAAUCUAGGAAUAUAGACUAGAUUUUUUCUUCCGCAAUCAAGUUUUAAUUCGACCAUGUUUAUUUGAUCCUAAAAGUAUUCUGGACCUACUAACUAUAACAACAUUUGUCAUUUUUCUGAUUAGCGCGGUAAUUUCUAUACGCAUUUAAAACAAAUAUGGUUGACUCUUUUUGAGCGCUCUUAAUGAUACGCUCCCUUUGAUCAUAAAUAUUUGAUGUUUAGCAUAAUAUUUUUCAAAUGGUUAGUUUAAAGAAAUGGUAGAGGUUAGAUGUGUCUCAAAAGAGUAUCAUUCUAGUAUUAUAAUAUAGAAUUAGCAUGGUGGUCCGCGCAGAUUGCGCAGCUAGCAACAUUAUAUUUUCUAUCAUAUAAUAAUAUAUAUGUUUUCUCAAUGUAUUAUUCAAUGACAACAAAAUUUUAAAUUUUAUACUACUUUUACGAAACUACUAAUAUAUAAUAUUCAUAUUGUAUUUUAUAUAUGUGUUAGUUAUUAAUUGUUUUUAAUAUCAAAUUUUAAUUAUUUGUAAAUUAUAUUAAUUAUUAUUCCAAUAUUAUUUAUUUUUAAUUCUGAAUUUUUAUUAUUUCUAAUUGUAUAUCUAUGUGUGGACUCUAAACUCAUCUUUCAAUAUUCUUUAAUUUUUAAUUUCGAAUUUAAGCUACUUUUAAAUUGUAUUCUUAUAUUGACUUUAGACUCUUCUUCCCAUGUUUUUUAAUUUCGAAUUUUAGUUAUUUGUAAAUUGUAUUUUAUACGAACUCUAAACUCUCAUUUUAAUUUUACUAUGUUUAUUCCGAAUUUAGUUAGUUUUAAAUUCUUAUAUGGACUCCAUACUUUACUUAUAAUAUUUCUUAUUUUUAAUUUCGAAUUUCUAUUAUGUAACAUCCUCAAAUUUUAAACUAAAAUUUGACUGCAUCAUGCUGGCUUUUGAUUAAAUUAGUGUGUUUUAAAAAUCUAUUUGAUUCUUAAUUGGUUCAGGUAUUACUUCCUUAGAACCCUAUUAAUUUACCCUAAUUAUUAUUUUUUCCAAACCCUAGUGAAUUUGAGCAAAUUCUCUCAAAUUUUAAACUAUAGAUUAUUUCCUUAGUUUAUCUUAAUAUUAAUGAGGAUUUGCUAUACUUCAAAUCCUAGUCAAACCCUUCCAAAUUCAUAGUUUAAAUUCAAAUCUUUUCUAGGGAAAUAUUCAAAAUUCUUGAAUUUCACUGUUCAUUGCCUUCAAGGUGUUCGGCAGAAUGACUAGCCCAACUAACACAGCCCAAUCCCUAUCCAAUCUUGCACAAAGUCUAGAAUUGAUCCUAGGGGACCACAUCCCACACAAAUACCGUGGAUCUCUUUGCUACUUCCUCCCCUUCAUGCGCGCUCUCUAGCGUCCGACUUCGCCACGCGCCGAGCCGCCGUGCGUCGGUCUCGGGAUCGAUCGCGCGUGCCCGAUCCCCUUGGCGCGCCGCUAGCCGUUCGACGCCCUCAGACCACCGCCGCCGCACCAAUCAUGACGACGACAAAGCCGGGAUGAUGACCGCCGCAAGGAAUCGCUGCUCGACGCCGUGUGCUCCCGUCCAAAGCCGCCGCCGAGUGCGAUUUCGCUUCUACCCAGGGUGAAUCGCGCCAAUUCUUGCCGCACGGUUGGAUUGAAGAUAGAUGGUGGUAUCCCCUCUCACAAUUCAAACCAUUCACCCCCGAGUUGGCCGUUUUCACGCUCGCCGCCGCCGCGCGUCGCGCCCGGAUUGGCGCCAACACGUUGCCAGCUGAAUUCACUCGUGGUCAAGCAAAUCCUUUGCCGGUAAGUAUUCAAACGUGGCCUCCCGCCACUCAAAUUGAUCUUGGCCGCCCUCUCACAACCUCUGCCGCCCUAACCAUAUUCAAAGAUCGAGCUCAUCCAUGGCGAUGACGGUGCCCGAGCUCAUCCGCUCCUCAUAGCCCUAUAAAUAGGACCCCAAUCCCUUCCAUAUCCAUCAUCGAUCAUCAACAACCAUAACCCUACAACCGCAAAGCUCUGCUUCACCAAUCCAUCCCACCAAUCACCACUGCUCGUCGGUCGAACACCUUGUGCGCGAUCGACUCCACACCUCUCCAUCCAUCCUCCGCCCUAAAUAUCCCUUAGAACACCAUAUAUCAACCAUGUUCUAGCAUAGUAGACCCUAACCGAACCCCUGCGUUGAGUUUUACCUCGCCGCGCCAAGCCGAGCACCGCCGCCCCCGCGCUGCUCUGUUCUUCACCGCCGAGAAAUUUUUCCGGCCGCAAUCCUUCGUUUCAACCGAUCUCGGUGAGUUCUUCCGUUUUAACCAUCUACAUACUCCCUAAAUUCCAUUUUAGCAAUCACUUUGCACUAUCAUGUCGCCCUCUAGGCUGCCGGCGUGAGCACGGCCGCCGCCUAUGGAGGCGCUCGUCGGCAACUACCCUCCGCGCCUUGCCAAAGGUUGGCAAGCUGCCGGAAUCCAUCUAGGUACCUCGUAGAUGCUCUAGGAGCCCUCCCCUAGCCAUGUCUAACUCGUACCAUCCUAAUCGCCUUCACGGCCUAACCGUGCCGCCGCCGCCCUAGCCGCUAGGCUAUCCACAUAUCAAAUUAACCCCUCCGCCGCCGCUCGCGCGCCGUCGCCGGAGAACCCUAGCUCCCUCCCCUCCUCGGCCGCAACCACUUUUCUCCUCCAUCGCCACUGUAAUCGCCAACCCUAGCGCCGCCGGCCGCUUUUGGGAUCAGCCGGAGGUAGAAGAAGAGAAGAGAGAGAGACUGACAGGUGGGACCCGCACAUAGUGCCAUUUCACAUUUAUUUGAUUUUCAAACUUUAGAAGCCCAUAUCUUUUAAAAUAUAGAUCCAAUUCCAGCGAAACUUGGACCAAUAUUCUUCUAAAAUCAUUCUCUACCUUUUGAACCCUCUUUUACUAUUUUUCCAUUUUAUUUUAUUUUCUCUAUUUUUCUUAUUUUUGGAUUUUAUUUGAAUUCCUUUUGAAUUUAAAUUUUAUAUGCUUAACCCUAGGUCUUGAGGAUUCUUUUGACACACUAGAUAAUAGCAAUCAAUCUCAGGACAUCGAGCAAAGCAAGUUACCAUAUACCUUUUGAUCAUUUAAGCCUAUAUUUUACAAAUUAGUUAUUUAUAACAUCCUAUUCAAUAUUCUAUUUUCUAUGCAUAAAUCAAUUAUAGAAACCCAGAUAAUUUAGUAUUGCUUAUUUUGCUUACAAUCUGGUUAAAAUACCUUAUACUUAGAUUGGGACAGUACGUAAGAUUUGGACGAUUUCCGAGUGGCUAGUACUGUCUCGAUCGAUAUAAGUUUUAUCAGGUACUUAUGUCGAACGAAUGGGUACGACCACAGUUUCUAGAAUGGGGACGGACCUAGUUAUUAUGUUAAUUAGCAAUAUGGCACCUCUGUAUAGUGGUUCUUAUUUUUAAGUCCUCACGCAGGAGGCAACUAUAGCCGCGAAGGGCAACUUUAACCAUUACCAUGUACAGGUAAAUGGUUUGUGAUACUCGAGUAUAAACUAUAUGGUAUAUUUCUAAACCCUAAUCGAGAUGAUGUGGUGUCAUACGAUCAGUUCCCCUUAAAUACCUCGGGAACACCAGAACUCCUCUUGCUGCUGUUAACAAUACAUUCAGAGCAUAUGAGGAUAUAAGUUCAUGGAACAGGUGCCACAAUUGUUAAUGACUUAAUACUGGGCCAUGACUAAAGCCGAUGAUUAUCAGCAAGUCGUGGACUGCGGGUAAAGUGUACAUCUACUGCAGUAGAAUAUCUUUGAAACUAUUCAAAUAGCCGUACUCAUGGAGUUGAGUACCGGGACUCAUAUGGUACCCUGGUUAGAAAUCUAAAGUCUAUAUGUUUUAUAAAUUCUUGCUACAACUCUUCCAGAUUGUUUAUUACUGCUUUUUGCAAAGAACCCUACUAUAUGCUAAUGCAUAACAUAUUUCCAUGAUAACUUGCUGAGUAUUGUGAAUACUCAUCCUUACUCUUAUAACCCUUUUUUCAGAUCUGGGUCAAGAGGAGGACCCUUAUGACUAUUUCUACGAUGACCCCGAUAGCUUAGAGAAUCCCUAAAGGUUAUACCUCCCUAGUCAGAAUGUAUAGAAACCAGUGUUGUGGAAGACGGUAUACGGAUAUCGGACGGAGAGGGUACCGCCAAAUGAUUAAUCGGAAUGCGGACGAUUAAUCGGAAUUUGGCGGAAAUAUAAUGUUUUGAAAAUAUAUGUACAUAGUUGAUAAUAGUUUUCCCUUUUUGAUAAACAAAUGCAUAUAACUAAAUAUAUUCCUUCUAUAUAUCCUUAAAUAGAAUAACCAUGUAUGACAUUUAAAUAAGUUCAUAAUGGAUAGCUGUUACUAUAUAUCUCAAUUCUCACGUAGUGAUGGGUUUUGUUCAUAAUGCUUGAAAUGAUUAUCAAGAGAAUGUUACAUAGCAUAGAUGACCGUAAUCAAGGUCCCAAAUAACAUAUGUAUCGGUUACCUCGAAGAGCUUCAUCAAAUACAAACUCCAAUAACGUGAUUAUCAUCAAAAUCAAGGAACUCAUGUUCAAACUUUAGAGGAAGUCAGUUCCUUGUCAUUUUACAUCUUGCUGCCUUGUGAGAAUUUUGGAAGAGCUUGUAGUCAGUAGUAGUAAAGGGCACAGCUAACAACCAUCAUCACGCCGACGAUUAUACAGCUGAUUAGACGGAGAUGGACGAUUUAAUCGGUAAUGAGCAGAUUUAUGCGUUCGUUACCGACUAAUUAUGACCGCAUCGGCGUGACGUGAUGGUCUGAUCUCCGUAUUCGUAUUAUCGGACGUAUUAACGGCCAUUAACACCGUUUUCCACAACACUGAUAGAAACUUCCGCUGUGUAUUAAUUAAUUAGUUAGGUGAGUACCUAUUAUUCUAAAACCCUUAGUAUUGUAAAACUUUAACGUAUGCAAUGAAGAACCAGUUAUAUUGUAUGUACCAAUAUUUACUGAUCUAGGGAUUGAUACAUUAUCUUAGUCGGAUCCUAGUUGUUAGUUCUGGAUUCCGACAUAUUAUUUCUUAAUUGUACUUCUAUAUGGACUCUAUACUCUACUUCUAAUAUUCUUUAUUUUUAAUUCUGAAUUUCUAUUAUUCCUUAAUUGUAUUUCUAUAUGGACUAUGUACUCUACUUUUAAUAUUCCUUAUUUUUAGUUCCGAAUUUCUAUUGUUUCUCAAUUGUAUUUCUAUAUGGACUAUAGUCUCCUCUUCCAAUAUUCCUUAUUUUUUUAAUUCUAAAUUUCAACUAUUUGUAAAUUGUAUUUCUAUAUGGACUCUGUUUUUCUUUUUCUCCGAUUAAUGUGGGAAUUUCUAGGCCGUGAGAACGAACAUGGAGGCUCCUUUUUCUAUUCCUUUAAUAAGUCAAUAGAUUGAUAGUCCAGUUUUAAAAGUUGGAUCAAAUGCUACAAACGUCGAAUACUUGUGAGAGUAAUAGAUACCACUAUUAGCUAUAAGGAAAAAGUACGAAUUACCCCCCUAAACUAUUGUGGUCGACCGAAUUUCCCCCCCUAAACCUAAAAACUAGACAUUACUCACCCUAAACUUUCAAUACCGGACGAAUUACCCCCCUCGAUCAAAUCUAGAGCAGUUUUGUCCUACGUGGCGUACGCGUGGCAACCCAAUCAGCAUUUUCCCUUUUCUUAACAUGGUGGGGCCCACUUGUCAAUCUCUCCCAUCUCCUUUUUCCUCUUCCCCUCUUCCUCUCUCUCGUGACUUCAGGCACGGCCGCGCGGGCGGUCGGCAUGCGAGGGGGCGGUGGGCGGCAGCGCAUCGUCAGGCGCUGCCGCGCGGGCGGUGGGCGGUGGCGCGGGUAUUCAAUUACGGAUAGUAUGGGCAAUCUAGUAGUUAGCCAAACUAGUGAGGAAACAACAACAUAUUAUCAAGAAAACAUUCACAUCACGAAGACGAGGAAAUCGGAAGAACACCUAGAGUCUCCUGAACGCGUCGGACAUGGCGUCAGGCCGGCCACACACGGCACAUCCAAUCAAAGUACUCCACCGCCUUCUUGCAAAGACCGACAUACUCAGGCGUCAGCGCCGGAAGAGGAGGCUCGUCCUAGGGCGUCGAGGGAUACCGGCGAAGCGGUCGGCAGACAUCGCCCUGCCAUGGAGGCCGCCGCCACCGCCGCGGGAGCUCAUGAUGUUCCCCGUGGCCACUGCAGUGGGAGCGUACUGGCCGGAGGCAGGAGGAGAGGGCUCGCCGGAAUCUCCGCGCGCUCACCUCGUGCACCCAACCGCACCCACCACAGCACCCUCCAGGCCGCCUGCCGCGCUCGCCUUGUGCACCCAGCCGCGCCCGCACCCUCGCUUGCCGCCGCCCCCUCCCGGCCGCCCACCGCAAUCGCCUCGUGAACCCAACCGCGCUCGCCUCGCCCUCCCAGCCACGCUCCCUCCUCGCCACCCGCUGCUGUCUGGAGCCCACAGACCGGUUCCCCCUCCUCGUCGCGCCUACCACCGCUCGUCAACAAGCUCCGGCCACCACUCCUCUCCGUCUUCGCCUCGCUUCUCCGCCGACAUCCCGCUCCCGCGCCACCACCCACCGCCCGCCAUCGCGCGCCGCCAUGAGCGUCGACCGCCCACAGCCGCCCUUGCGUGCUGACCGCCCGCGCGGCUGCGCCUGACGUCGCGAGAGAGAGAGAGGAAGAGGGGAAGAGGAAAAGGAGGAGAUGGGAGAGAAUGACAGCUGGGCCCCACCAUGUUUAAAAAAAGGAAAAUGGUGACUGGGUUGUCACGCGUACGUCUCGUAGGACAAAACUGUUCUGAAUUGGGUCAAGGGGGGUAAUUCGUCCAGUAUUAAAAGUUUAGAGUGAGUGAUGUCUGGUUUUCGGGUUCGGGGGGGAGGGGAAUUUCGGCCGACCGCGAUAGUUCGAGAGGGUAAUUCGUACUUUUUCCUAGCUACAAAUACACUUCCAUAUCUUAUAGAGAUAACUAUAACAUAUUAUCAAGAAGGUUAUUGUCUCUUAUUACCUCUAACUAUUAUCUUUUCGUCUCCUUUUCUUUCUUUUCCCUUCGUUCUCUCUCUCAGCGCAGCAUGCAGAGUUGGUUUUUUAAGGAAAAAGCACGAAUUACCCCUGCGCUAUUACGUUUGUUCGAUUUACCCCCCUAAAGUAUAAUACCAGACAUUUUUAACCCUAAACUUUCUAAGCCGGACAAAUUACCCCUCUAACUCAGCUCGAAGUGGUUUUAAUCCUACAUCCGUACACGUAGCAGUCCAGUCAACCAAAAAAUAAUAAAAAACAGUGGCCCUAUUUGUCAGCAUCUUCCUUCUCCUUUCUUCCAUUCACUCUAUCUCUUUCUCUCUCAGAAAAGAGCAGGAGGAACGGUAGCAACGGCGUCACCAGCGUGGGAGGAGAGGAACAGCAGGCGACCGAGACGGCACGCGUUAGGGGCGGCGGAUGACAACGCAGUAGUCUAGACGAGGGCCGCUGGCAGAAGCUGCGGUGGCAGCGUUGAAACGGGUCGGCGGCGGGCGGCGCUUGGCAACGCGACAGGCGGUAAUGGCACGUGAGACGAGGGCGACGAGGAGGGACGCGGCCUCGGCUUCCAUUGUAGCGCGGGAGGGCGGCGGGAUGUCGUCAUCGUCCUUGAUGUGGCCGGUGAAGACGACGUCAUCGGUCUGUGGGAAGCCAUGCCAAAGAACCACACCACCGCCACUCCGCGAGGAUCGCCGCACUGAGCUCCACCGCCAUGACGAAGACUUCCUGAAACCUGCAGAUGCCCGUCCUCAGGACCACCUGCAUCACGAUCUCGACCACGCAGUCCAUGGACGCCGCCGCCGCCACGGCCGGCCGCCCGACCAGCCGCCGUCUUGAACGCCGGUAGCAAGCUAGCACACUCGUCCAGCUAGGCUUAUGUGAGCCUGGAUCUGAGCUAGGGGAAAAGCGCCCAGUUCAAUGUUAGCUACUCCCUUCGUUUUAGGUUACAAGAGGUUUCGACUUUGAUCAAAGUAAAACUGUUUUAAGUUUAACUAAGUUUGUAGAAAAAAUAAUAACAUUUUUAACACAAGACAAAUUUAUUAUAAAAAUAUAUUCAAUUAUUGAUUUAAUGAAACUAAUUUGGUAUUAUAAAUAUUACUAUAUUUGCCUAUAAACUUAGUUAAAUUUAAAUUAGUUUGAUUUUGACAAAAAUCAAAACAUCUUAUAAUCUGAAAUGAAGAGAGUAACUUCUUGCCUUGCGAUGGUAGCGGGUAGAGAGAGGGGGGGAUAAGGAGAGAGGCAGAGAGAAGAGAGAUAGGCAAGUGGGUCCCAUGAUCUUUUUCUAAAUAUUGCUGACUGGACUGCCACGUAUAUGCCACAUAGGAUCAAAACCACUACGGAUUGAGCCGGGGGGUUAUUUGUCCGGUUUCAAUAGUUAAGGGUGUAGAAUGUCUGGUAUUAGAGUUUAGGGGUGUAAUUCGGUCGACCGCGAUAGUUCGAGGGAGUAAUUCGUACUUUUUCCAUUUUUAGUGGCAUCUCACUCUCCUGUCCUUUUGCCUUUAAGCUCCACGUGUACAAAAAUGUGAUAUAGGUUGAUUGUAAGGCGCCCAGUGUUGUAUUUGCUCUAAAAACAGCACUUGUAUUCAACUCCACAUGUGCAUCAUCAAACAAAAAAUAAUUUAAAGGAGUAUGUACCUUCUCCAUCUUUUGUGGUAAGAUGAAAAGCAACCCUCCAAACACUUGCAAAUUAAGAGGAAAAUGAGCACCACUGCACAUAUUAAAAAACUAUUACAUAACUUUUACAAACAAAGCUUCUAACCCUUCUAUUUAACUAGAUGAUAGUUACAAAAAAUCUAGAUUUACUCACUUGAUCACAUAUUAGUGUUUGUAAGAAUAUUGUAUGUAUAUACUUUUCUGAGAAAAAUAUGCUAAGGAUACAAAGAGUAAACUAAAUUAAAAAAAGUAGUCAAUGUGUGCACAGUUGACAUACAUUUAUCCUGAUCAUCAUGUAAAAUAAAUUUGGAAGGGGCAAUUUGCAAGAAUUAUAUCACUUUUGUGAUUAAAUAGAUUUUAUCUAUUGGCAUAUUGUGACUUUUGUACUUCUGGACAGAGAAUGGAAAAAUGGGAAGAAAUUCGAAAUACCGAGAACAUGUCAGCGUUAAGUGGGGAGUGGAGACGUACUAGCUCUGAUGAGCAUGUGUUGCUCAGGUUUUCUCAAUAUCUCAAACUUAUAUUAUUUCACAAAGUCAACGUCAAUAUCACAAUAACCCGUUAAUUAUAUUGCUGAAAUAUUUUGUUAACAAAGUUCCUAAAAGAUUCAAGCAUUCCAAAGCAAAUUCUGUAUGAAUAUUGCCGCGCCGAUUAGCAGGGCAUUGCUUACCAAAUGAGGAUAAUAAAAUUGGUCAUAUCCUACAUGCACGUCUCCAUCACAAUCCCACAAAGGGAAAUUCUCGAUUGGAUAUAUGAUCUUAGCUACGAAUGAUCAUGACGUACACCCACGUAAACGCCAUUAAUCUUAGUUCACCUUCCGGCAGUUCAGCCUGACCUCCGUCGGCGUCCCGGCCGCCGGCAUGAGGCCGCCCAUCUUCACCAUCGCCUUGGCGAAGUCGCCGGCGAACAUGCCGGCGUUCCCGGCGUACUUCCUCACCAGCGCGUCCUGCGACCCGCCGUUGAACAGCUCCUGGUCGGAGUGCAGCAGGCCGCGCUGCGCCACCAGGUUCUUGAAGUAGGCGUUGUCGAACGCGUCGGGCGUCUGGUCGUCGAACGGCGCUAGGUUGCCGUCGCCGCCGCCGGACUGCGGGCACGUCUGCCGCAGCGCGGCGGCGAACGUGGCGUUGAUGUUGGCCUCCCCGUAGAUGCGGCCGCGGAACAUGAGGCAGCGCGCCCGCCCCACGGUGUGCGCCCCGGACAGCGCCGUCAUCUCGCGCGCCGAGAGGCCCUUCCCCGCGAACGCUGCCACGAGCGACGCCCCGCUGGACGCCGGGCCGGGCAGGUUGGCGUUCGCCGCGGUCCCGCUCGCCGUGCGCGAGUCCUUCCUGCCCAGCUGCACGUUCCACGUCGGUCCCCCGAGCUGCAACGCAGAUUAUUGCAAUCAAGAUUAUUCAAUGUGCACUGUGUCACUAUGACGUCUACACACACUCGUCUCGUGUGUUCACUGACCAAGUUUACGGCGUCGCGAGACGCCAGCGCGACGAUAUCGGCGCAGGAGACGACGCCCUUGCAGGCCGCCUCGACCUGGGACUUGAUGGCGUCGAUGACCUCGUACCCGCGCACGGAGUUGAUGUUGGCGCCGGCGUUCUUCUCGCCUGUGAACGUCAGCGUGUCGUCGAGGAGGAUGGACGCGUCGCACCCCUGCAUUCGCCAAAAAAACGUAACGCACGCGUGAGCGUGACUCGACCAUCUCGUCAGCUAGAGAUCAUCAUCAGAACAAACGCGACGACUGACGUACGUUGACGAAGCAGUCGUGGAAGAAGAGGCGGAUGAUGGAGGCGCCCAUCCGGGGCUCCUUGGCGACGGCCUGCGCCACCACCGACCGCACGAUGGUGUCCACGCCGGGGCACGUCUUGGCGUAGAACUUGAUCGAGAGCCCCGCCUUCGCCGCCUGGCACGGCGCCAGCAGCACGCACGCCAGGAGGGCAAGAGCAACAAAGCUGUAGCCGCUGCUCCUGGCAAACAAGAAACCCAUCGUGAUCAUGCAGCUAAAAAUGGCUGGAUUGGAUCUAAUACACUCUUGCAAGCUAGCUACUCGUACUUAUAGUAGUAGCAGUAGUAUAGUGGCUAGUGCACGAUCGUGUUAUUAGUGGCGGGCAUCUGAUCUCUGCUGCUACAAAAGUGCAAGCAAGGAACCGCACGUAGCUAGUAAUGUCUGCCGCACUUGGUGAUUGGUUGACGAUCGACGCGAUCGACGCGCGCGAAUGGUGGCUGUCGUCUCGAGGGGGAGGGACGUAGUACGUACUUGCGGCGUUGCCGGUGGUGGUGCGCGGCGCACCAUGGGAUGGGAUUGAUUCAGAUUGGUGUGGUGCCUGGCAUCCACGAUGCCGGAUCGAGCGUCCUCGCUUUUGGGGAACAGAGGGGGAGGGCACCAUCGCGCUUUGCUCGCUAGCUGAUCUCUUUCUUUCUUCGCGUCUUUGCGUGAUGUGUGCGAAGGUUCGGAACAUGAUAAGAAAGCGGCCGGCCGUGCCUAAAACGCUGCGUUUUGGGGUGCCCUUUUUGCAGUUUUGCUCGAAACUGUAUGUUAGUGGGUUUCUGGCUCUCUAGCUCCAUCGGGUUUCUAGUCGUCUAGCCAGGGGGUGAUAUACAAAUGAAAUUGUGAUGCCACAUGGGGGAACAAAUUAAAGGCAGCUCAACUCAAAGGGCAUUGCGGAUUCAACUAACCUAAAAGUCACGACCAAUGUCUUGCGCUAGCUAACUCAUUCCAUGAGACUGGUUACUUAAGGAUUGUGGACAUCGCGGACGGUUAGGGCCACAUUAUGAUACCCAAAGGACAGGUACCAAAUUAAAAACUUCGAUAACAAUUCAGAAUUGUAUAACAAUUGGUAUAGCUCACCAUACAUCUACUAAUUAAACCUAUGGAGGAGGCCUAAUUAAACCUAUGGAGGAGGCCUCAUAUAACUUACUACUGACGAAUCUGGACAUAUUAUUUAAUCUAUACAAACAUUCAUGAAUAACUAAUAUUAUUAACUACAUAUGUUUCACUUUGAGCACAAAAUCUAUCUAUCUAUCUAUUAUCUAUCUAUUAUAUACUAAAAGUCCAUUAAACUUCCUACAAACGCUCUCAAGCCGCCACGUGGCGCUCUAAUAAAUUAGAGAAAAUCCUAGAAAUUCUAAGAAAAAAUUAAAACAUCUACCCCUCGAUUUUCACUUAAAUUGGUGGGUCCAAUAUUAUACACUGUUAGAUGAAAUUGAUCUUAACACAAACCAAAUACUAUGUGUCCCACCUCUCCUCCUUCUCCCACGCAUAUGUACGUAUACGUAUGUAUACUUCCUUCCUUUUCUUUUUCAUUUUUUCUUCUUUUUUUCCAUUUAUAUAAUGGAUAUAUAUAUUUUUUUAAAUAAUCGAUCAUAAUUUUACAAAGAAAGAAUUUACCAUCGUACAACUCACAUGUAACUAAAUUAGCUCUACAAUAUUUGAAAGUAAAAUUUACACCAUUAUAUGUUACCCAUUAAAUUAAUAAUGUAAGAUAAUUUCCACUUAAACCGAUGUACUCAUUACUUUGUACUAUUAUUUAAAAAUAAUGCACUAUUUUAAAAUAAAGUUUACACAAUUAUAUUGUGCACCUAUCAAAUAAACAAUUUAAGAUCUAUAUACGUGCACUAAACCGAUGGACCCAUUAUUUAAAUCAUCGUAUCUAUUUUUUAUUACAUUGGACUCUUGCUCUCAAAUAAUACACUGUUUCAAAAUAAAGUCUACACCAUUAUAUUGUAUACCCAUUAAAUUAACAAUUUAAAAUAUAUAUUAACUAAUUUACACUUAUACUAGAACCGAUGGACCCAUCAUUUAAAUCAUCGGAUCUAUUAUUUGCAAAUAAUAAAGCGUCCAAAGUUCUCUUUUGGCCCAUUGCACAAUGCACGUCUACACCUUUACCUUUCGCACACGUGACAAGCGUUGUGUCUGAGACAUUUAAGGUGAUCACGACCGCUGCAACGCUAUUGCUUUGCCACAUAUCAAAUCAUAUAUGGAGAUCAUUAAUUUUGUUAAUAACAUGAAAAGAAAAUUAAAGGUGUGAUGCAACGAGAGAAGAAUUAUGCACCGUGGGUUGUGUUUUUUCCAGCACUUAGUUCUGUUUAAGCUGAAUCUGAGAGUUGGUUACAGAAUAAUUAUAAUGUAUUAUGUUAUGUCGUAUUUGGAUUUUGUACUAUUUGUUCGUAUAGGUGAAAGAAAUCAUUAUGUUAUAAAUAUGAGCAUAAUAUUAACGAAUAACAAUAGAACUCUUACUAAGACAAGGUUGUUAUAAGGGAGUUUAUGACCCACUUUUUUUCCCCGAUUCCAUAGUUUUGAUUUUUGUUUGCACACUUUCCAAGUUUCUAAAUAGUGUAUUUUUAAACGAUAAUUUAACUUUCUAGAACCUAAUUCAUUUGUUUAUAUCCUCAAAUAGCUAUCACAUAAAUCAGAUAAUUCAUCAAUUUAACCUGUCCAACACUUUUUUUUCAUGCGAGUCAUGGUGAUCAGUAAAUUAGGGAUCAACCGAUAAUCAAAGUCGUAAAAUGAAUAUGUAAGAGCUACUAUGCACAACUGUAAAUAGGUGUCAAAAUUAAUUGUUAUUAAUUAGACACAUAAUUAAUUUCUUAUAUAAACAUGGAUGAAGCUGGAACAAAUAUUACCAUAUGCCCCAUACAUAUAUAUUACAUGGUUAAUAUUCUAAUUAUAUGUGUUAAGUCCUUAAAAAUUCCUUAAAAUGCUCUCAAGCUGCCACAUGGUGCUCUAAUAAAUUAGAGAAAAUAUUAGAAAUUCUAAGGAAAAAAAAGUAAAGUAUCUAUUACUUGAUUUUCACUUAAAUCGGUACGUCCAAUAUUAUAAACUGUUAGAUUAAAUUGAUCUUAGAACAAACUAAAUACUACGAGGUCCUAUCUCUCCUCCCGCGGCAUAGGUACGCACCUACAUACGUGGGUAUGUACGCUUUCCCUCCCUUUUUUUUUCAUUUUUCCCUUUCUUCUUUUUUUCCAUGCAUACGCUUCCCUCUCUUUCUUAAUAUAUCUUGCGCCUUCAUGAGAUGAUUUAAUCCCAGGAAUUUUGAGUAUCUUGCUCUCGCAUUUUUUAUUUGUGGCCAUACUACAUGAUAUGUAUAUAGAUGGACUGCAUUGAUAAUUAACUAGUAAUAGUUUCUUAUUUAGUAAAAAAAACAUGAUUCAAAAGUCGUAAGUACUUAAUCUAUCUCCUACUCAAAAUUUUGUGAAUGGUUUUCUAAGAUAUCUUAAGAGAAAUAGAACCCUUAAAUUAUUAUGAAAUAACAUUAUAUGAGAUGAAAUUUUUGAGCAAACAAUAAUCGUAACUUUCAAUAAUAUAAGUGCCCGCGCAUGCGCGCGGGCCACCUUCCUAGUUACAUACAAAUGAUUAUAUUACAUUAUAAUAAAUGGAAGUUAUAUAUAUAGUUAUAUAUUUUUUAAAAAAAACAAUACAAAUGAAGACGAUCAUAUAUAUACAUAUGUAUCCAUUCACCUAUAUGAAUGCAUGCAUGUACGCUUCAACCGUGUGAACACGGGGGCUCCUGUUCCGCGCGUAUGCGCCAGGAACGGAGGCGGCGCGUAUUUUGACGGCACUAAGAGCGUUUAGUGCUAACUAACAGCGCUUAGCGCUAACUUUUUUUGUUUUUUGGGAUAAAAAUUCGUCACGCGUCUUUCUUCCUUUUUUUUAAGUUGACUGAAACAAACUUUUAAUUCCAGAUUUGAACUUAGAUUUAAAAAUUUCAAGUCAAGAUUUGAAUACUUUCAUCUUAAAUUUAAAAAAUUUUCAACUCAGAUUUUAAAUAUGAGUUAAAAGUUUUCAAACUUGAGUUAAGUUUUUAAAUCUUGACUUAAUUUUUUUUAAAAUUUGAGUUGAAAGUUUCAAAUUUUCAUGAAAGUUUUCGAAUCCGAGUUGAAAGUUUUCAAGUCUAAAUUGAAAGUUUUCAAAUCCGAGUUGAAAGUUUCUAAAUCUGAAUUGAAAUUUUUCAAGUAUGAAUUGAAAGUUUUCAAAUCUGAGUUGAAAGUUUUUAAAUCCGAGUUGAAAGUUUUCAAGUUUGAAUUGAAAGUUUUUAAAUCCGAGUUAAAAGUUUUUAAAUCUCGACUUGAAAGUUUUCAAAUCUGAGUUAACAUUUCAAAAAAAAAUCUUGAUUUGAAAGUUUUAAAUCUUGACAUCUAUUUCUACACACGUGUAGUAAUCAACGGGGAAAAGAAAAAAAAGAAACGUGGAGGAAAAAAAAAUAAAUGCGGCUAUUGCGCAACAAAAAAAAGGAAAAAAAAAGAACAUGUGUGGCAAUUGCACAAAAAAAAAGAAAAAAGAAAAAAGAAGCGCGUGUGGAAGUUGCGAAAAAAAGGAAACGCCCGCGUGAGGGUUUGGCGGCAUGGACUGGAACUGGGCCAUAAACGCGCGCCAGAUAUUUAGUUAGCGUGUCUGUGCGAAUUAGCAUUCUCAUGUGAACACCUCCGAAUAUUAGGCCUUCAACUUGAACACGUGUGGAUACGUCCACUAUAAGGAGCCUAACUAAUUAUUCUAGCUCACUAUAUUUAUGACAAUGCACACUUUGUUAACAUGACAUUUUUUUUCAAGCAUUAUAAUUUAUUUUGAAAACAUAGGGAAUCAAAAUUCAAAUUUAAAUAGUGCAUUAAUAAUUAUUUAAAAAUGGGCACCACUAUAGACCACUCCAUUGGUGUCGGUUAGGAACCCCUUAUAGGUAUCGAUUUCCUAAAUGGUACCAAUUUAGGGGCACCUUUCCCGUCCAUAUAGGUGCCAGUUAUACAGAUAGAACCAACACCUAUAAUCUUAAAAAAAUAAAUAAAAUGAUUGUAUGAUGCUCGAAUCAACUGUAACCCGGCUCAAGUGCCCCCGGAUUCCUAGCCCUGCAAUUUUCUCAUCCACAUUACAAAUCAAUAAGAAUAUGAUAGCAUAUGCACACAUCAACAACAAAAAAGCACAUCACAUAUCAAGAAGACAAGAACAAGCUAAUCACAUCCCAGAUCAGAACAAUUCACAUAGAUCAAAAUCUUCCGCCAUACCCAACCAUUACAUGCCCAACAUAUCAGACUCACCAUCCCAGUGGAUGUGGAUCUGCUACCGUCGUCAUCGAUUCCCUUGCUGCUUAUCUCCUUCGAGCCGUCGCUGCCAUCAUCUCCUUCCAGCCAGACCACACCAGCCCCCGAGUGCGUGUGAGGUGAUCCAUGAUAGUAAGGUCGGCUGCGGCUGGAUCCAGCGUGCUCCGACCUCAAGGAGGUCAGAUCCGACGGUCCCUGACCUCUAGGCGGCUAGAUCAAGCGCGGCUAGGGAGAGAGAGCUCGAAGGCGACGAGGAAGUGGUGAGGAGGAGGAGGAGGCAGAUGAGGAGGAGGAGAGGCGAUGGACAGAGGAGGAGGUGGCCAGGAGUGGGCAGGGGUCGGAGCAGCAGUGGAGGUGGAGUAGUGGCGGCCACCUAGAACUCGUCCACUUCCCCCACCCUACCAGCUCUACUCUGAGGCCAUCGCUCCCUCAGCCGCCGACUCGCUAUACUCAGCGGACGAAGAGGAGGAGGAUGCCAGGCGUGGGCGGGGGCCGGAGCGGCAGUGGCGGCGGGGUUGUGCGAGCGGGGUGGCGAGAGUGCGAAGGAGAGAGAGGGUGGGGAGAGGAUAAGGAUGUGAGGGGUGGGGAGAGGAUAAGGUGAGCUGUGUGGUGG
rnacentral:lncRNA from 1 species